UCCGCUCCCCUGUUGAUGGUGAGAUUACCUUAUAUCUACCCGACCAGGGAUGCACCCGUUCUUGUGCUUUUGCUAUGAUAGAAUCCCCAGUGGAAAAGAUCCCAGUGGUCUGUGACUAUCCAGAUGUUUUUCCGGAUGAAUUGCCAGGAAUGCCACCUGACCGAGACAUUGAGUUCGCAAUUGAGUUGCAACCCGGGACUGCCCCGAUCUCCAAGAGACCCUAUCGGAUGCCUCCCGCGGAAUUGGCAGAAUUGAAGAAGCAACUGCAAGAAUUGUUGGACAAGGGAUUUAUUCGUCCAAGCACUUCACCAUGGGGAUGUCCGGCAUUAUUUGUGAAGAAAAAGGAUGAGAGUUUGAGGAUGUGUGUUGACUACCGCCCUCUCAAUGCGGUGACCAUAAAGAACAAAUACCCACUGCCCCGCAUUGAUGUUCUGUUUGAUCAAUUGGUUGGAGCCAAGGUAUUCUCCAAGAUAGACCUUCGCUCAGGAUACCAUCAGAUCAAGAUCCGCGCUAGCGAUAUUCCCAAGACAGCUUUCUCUACCAGAUAUGGACUGUAUGAGUUUCUGGUGAUGUCUUUUGGGCUGACCAAUGCCCCGGCUUAUUUUAUGUACUUGAUGAACUCAGUCUUCAUGCCAGAGUUAGACAAGUUUGUGGUCGUUUUCAUUGAUGAUAUUCUGGUUUAUUCCAAAAAUGAAGACGAACAUACUGAGCACCUACACAUUGUGCUUCAACGGCUGCGCGAUCAUCAUCUUUACGCUAAGUUGUCUAAGUGUGAGUUCUGGCUGAAGGAAAUCAAAUUCUUGGGUCAUACAAUUUCUCAAGAUGGGGUAUCAGUUGAUCCUGAAAAGGUGCAGGAGGUGAUGGAUUGGAAACCCCCGACUACAGUGAAGCAGAUUCGGAGUUUUCUGGGAUUGGCAGGAUAUUAUCGACGAUUUAUUCCGGAUUUCUCCAGGAUUGCCAAACCAAUGACUGAACUGUUGAAGAAGGGAGUCAAAUUUGAGUGGAGCCAAAAGUGUGAAGAUGCCUUCCAUACCUUAAGGCAGCAUUUGACGACAGCCCCAGUGCUAGCUCAACCUGACAGCACCAAGCCAUUUGAAGUUUAUUGUGAUGCUUCUGAUACUGGUUUGGGAUGUGUCUUGAUGCAAGAGAGCAGAGUGAUUGCUUAUGCUUCCCGAGCACUCAGGCCCCAUGAGCAGAAUUACCCCACUCAUGAUCUGGAAUUGGCAGCUGUGGUUCAUGCUCUUAAGAUUUGGAGGCACUACCUGAUGGGAGCUCACUGUAACAUCUACACUGAUCACAAGAGCCUCAAAUACAUCUUCACUCAGGCAGAUCUGAACAUGAGGCAAAGGAGAUGGUUAGAGUUGAUCAAGGACUACGAUUUGGAAGUGCAUUACCAUCCUGGUAAAGCCAAUGUUGUGGCAGAUGCCUUAAGCAGAAAGGGCCAGUGUAAUUGCAUAAGCAUGGAUGUGGGAGUUACCACCCUGUGUGAUGAAUUGUGCAAACUGAACCUGGAAGUUGUUCCUUCGGGUAACCUAAGCUAUAUCUCGGUGGAGCCCACAUUGCAAGAACAGAUAGUAAGGGCUCAGGUUGAGGAUAAGGGAGUUCAGGUUAUCAAGAAUAUGAUCAAGCAAAAGGCAGAGAAGUACAAGUGUUUCCGGCAGGACAGCAAGGGAAUCCUAUGGUUUGGAGAUCGAUUGGUUGUUCCUAAGGACCCUGAGCUCAGAAAGAAGAUACUGGAUGAAGCUCACCUUUCCAAAUUCUCCAUGCACCCUGGUAGCAACAAGAUGUAUCAUGAUCUCAGAUCUUUAUAUUGGUGGACUAGGAUGAAAAGGGAAAUUGCCAAGUACAUAUCCGAGUGCGAUACUUGUCAGAGGAUAAAGGCUAGUCACUUGAAGGCAGCAGGCCCUUUGCAACCCCUUCCCAUACCAUCUUGGAAAUGGGAGGACAUUUGCAUGGAUUUCAUAGUGGGAUUACCCAAUACCUCCAGGCACCAUGAUUCUAUUUGGGUUAUCGUGGACAGGCUGACCAAGACUGCUCAUUUCUUGCCAGUGCAUACCACCCACAGGGCAGAGAAGUACGCUGAAAUUUAUGUUGAUCAGAUAGUGAGAUUGCAUGGCAUUCCCAAGACCAUUAUAUCUGACAGAGGAGCACUGUUUGUGGCACGCUUUUGGGAGAAACUGCAAGAAUCACUUGGAACCCAUGUCAUCCGAAGCUCAGCAUACCACCCACAAACCGAUGGUCAGACAGAAAGGGUGAAUCAAAUUUUGGAAGAUAUGUUGCGAGCCUGUGCACUGCAUUAUGGAAAAGAUUGGGAUAAGUGUCUGUCUUUGGCAGAAUUUUCUUACAACAAUAGCUAUCAAUCCAGUCUGAAGAUGGCACCUUUUGAGGCAUUGUAUGGGAGAAGGUGUAGGACCCCACUGAAUUGGUCUCAAGCAGGAGAAAGAGAAAUUUUUGGGCCAGACUUAGUACUCGAGGCAGAGGCAAAGGUCAGGGUCAUUACCAAGAACUUGGAAGCUGCUCAGGCUAGGCAAAGAAGCUAUCAUGAUAAGAGGCGGAAGCCUCUACAGUUUGAGGUGGGAGAUCAUGUCUAUCUUAAGGUAUCACCCACCAAGGGCGUUCAGAGAUUCGGGAUCAAGGGCAAGUUAGCUCCUCGCUAUAUUGGACCCUAUGAGAUCAAGGAAGCUUGUGGACCCGUAGCCUAUCAAGUGGAAUUGCCACCUCACAUGUCGACAGUUCAUAAUGUGUUCCAUGUAUCUCAACUGCGGAAAUGCGUUCGUCUACCCACUGAAGUACUCCCGGAACCAGACAUUGAGAUAGAACCAGACUUGUCUUAUCAAGAGUACCCCGUCAAGGUGUUAGAUCAAAAGGAGAGAUCAACUCGGGCAAGGUCGGUCAGAAUGUAUAAGGUUCAGUGGAGUCACCAUUCAGCAGAAGAAGCUACAUGGGAGACUGAGGAUUUUCUACGCUCUCGCUUCCCCGACUUUCUACCCAAAGGAGUCGGUGCGUAACCCCAGAAACCCCCACCUGCCCUUUGAAUCCAAUUAUAAGAAAAACUUAGAUAAUAAGAAUAGUCUAAGUUGUGGAUUUAACUUAAGAAGGGCUUCCUUCUGAAGUUGCAAAGAGAAUGACAUUCGAAGAGCAGUUAACAAGAGAAAUUUGAGUAUAAAGAAAGAGUAGCACCAACACACCUUUCAGCACCCUCCAAGGGACUCUACCUAAAUCUCGGGACGAGAUUCCUUUAAGGGGGGAGGGCUGUAACACCCCAGGUGUUACUCAGGGUGUCCAUGCUAGAGUUUUCCCCUUUACCCAUUAUCACAUGAAGAUUAAAUUGGGCAAUGUGUGCCACACUUGAAAUUCUAGGUCCUAAGCAAGAGUAAUCCACUUUGGAUGUCAUGCCCUAGCUUAUCAUGCACAUCUAAGUGGGGAUCUCCCAAAACCCUAGAGCAAAACCCCCAUAGGUAAUUAUAACCCAAAUUGAAGCCAUGAUCAAAAGAGCAUGUAAACAUCAAGACCAUGGCUUGGACCAAAUAUAAAAGUUGUAAUACACUCAAUAACCUACCAUUAAUAGUAAGGAAGUACCCACAAAAAGUUUGCAGAAAAGUCCUAAAAAGAUCACCAAGGGUUGAACACAAGGGGGGAAAUGCAGAUUUUGCCUAAGUUAAAAACCAACCCCUAAGCAAAGAUCUCUCAUGUUCACCUUGAUCCCCUCUUCAAAAUCUGUCGACCCAAUUGACAAAAAGGCGCCAAACUAACCCUAGAACACCCUGGAAAGAGGUGACACCUAUCCUAGGGCUCUAGACACGACUUGACACCCCUUUUGUCUCGGUUUGGACCCUGCUGACACAGCAAACUUCUCCCCUCUCUAUCUCUCUGUCCAGACCAGAUCUCGACUUGGAACCCACAACAAAAAGGUAGGAUUUGGAGCAGAGAAGUGACCGUACACAGUGACCUUGCCGAGAUAUGCACGCCUUGGCGCUCAAACCGGCCGUUGAACAUUGGCAGACGCAACCAUCCACGUGUUCGACGCAUGCUGGCACCCGGGGGCGCGCUCAGUGCACGCCGGUGCGCGAACCCCCGCGCGCCCGCGGCCCCCCCCGUGACCACGCCCGCGCCAAGGCUAUAAAACCCGCCCCAGCGCUCGGUUGCUUCCCCCGUUGCCUCGUCCGUACUUCGCCGGAUUUGCCCGAGCCAGCCGUUGCCUCCGGCGACCUCCCCGCGAACCGCCAGUGCCGCCCGAGCACCACCGCCGUGGCCAACCCCUCUCCAGCCACCCUCCGUUCGAUUCAAGCACCCAAAUAGCUUCCUGGUGAGACCGUGAGCUUGGCUCAAGCUUGAACCGAGAGCCCACGUCACCGGAGAAGCCGAAUCGCGCUCACCGGAGUUCCCGAACCCGCCGGCGCGCGUGGACCGGGUAAACCCCUUUGCCAUUUUCCGAUUCCUCGCGCGUAUGGCCUCUGUGUCAUCCCGUGGAGCUCCUCGUGCCCAUUGAUUGAACUCCCCCGCCGUGGUUUGGCCGGAGCAGGCAUCGCCGUCGACCUCCGCCGCCUGCGCACGUGGACCGAGCAGCUCCGACCGCCGCUGACGCCAACCCGCACAUCGCCGUGACCGUCGCGACCUCCUGAACCUCACCGACCACCUCGCCGGACCUACCUCGCCGCCGGUAAGCCGCGCCGCCCUUUCUUUUACCGCGGCUACUGUUUCAGUAGGGGGAGGGACCGCGGGUGAGAGGGAAAGAAACCCAGGGGGUUAAGUGCAAAGCCAGAGACUCAGGUGAAUAGUGCCGAAAGGGUAGAUCUGUGAGGUUUGAUUUGUUUUAAACCCAGGGGCCUCGGCGCAAACUGAUUUUCCAGGAAAACUUAAUUAAAAUCUAUUUUAAAUUCAAACAGAAACCUUAAAAACCCAUAACUUCUGUUUGGUUUAUCCAAAUUUGGUCAAAUUAAUUUUGCCAGACUCUAAAUCAUGUAACCUAUGUAGGAAAAAUAUAAAACCCCUUGGUGCUGUGGAAAAUUUAAAAGAUCUGAUUUAAUGUUAACUUUGGCCAAAAGUUAAAUAAUAGUAAGAAAAAUAGUUAGGACAUUUGACUAAGGUUAGAAAAAUUUGGAGAAGUUUUCAUUUACCUACUAACCUGUUUAAAAAUGUUAAACCCCUCUGUCUACUCCAUUUAAAUCAGUUUUACCCUUUAUUCCAUAAUGUGCUUAAGUUUAAGAAAAAUAGGAAAGGUGACAAAAAUAUUGAACCAGAGGGCACCCCUAUUUUUGUUGAGAUACUUAGUUAAUGUAGUUCACUAGAAAAAUAUAUCAUGCCCUGUUUUAGUGUAAAAUAAUUAAGAUCUCUUUUAAAUGAAUAAAACAAGGAUAACUUAGAAAAACUCCACAAGAAUAACCCCAAGGUGAAAACACCCCCACCCUUGGGAUAACUAUUGUUUUAAUAGAAAGAACCUAAGAAAAAUAUGAAAUCUGCUGUUUGACAUUUUUCAAAUAAUAAGGUAGUAGAAAGUGCCUUUUUGACAUUAAACUUGGGAAAAUCAUAACUAAUUAACCACCCUAUAGUUUCCUGUGAUAUUUAGCACAAAGGCCUAUUAUCACCAGAGGGUGUCAACAAAAAUAAACUUUAGGACAGAGCCUAACCCUAACUAGGAGGUAUAGUGUAAAGUGCCCCUUUUUACCUAACUUUUGUUAUUUGUGUCUAAGGCCUAACUUUUAUACUUUAAGCCUCAAAUUCUUAAAAUAAGCUAAAAUAGCCAGUGACAAUCCACUGUAAUUUUUGCAGAAUUUUUGGAAAUUUUUAAAACCCUGUUGUAGUUCAAACCUACCCUAGAAAACCCAAAUGGAAAUUAAGGGAAGAGAAAUAAAAGAUAUGAAUAAGGGUUGUCCCUGAAAAACUUUAUUACUAUCCACUCAAAUGUAUCAAGGCAAUAUAAAUCCACUAUGUUAUCCUAAAAAGAAAACUUAAGUCCAAAGAGUAAUCAGUCUAUCCAUGUACCACUAGGAGCCCCGCAUAACUAAGAAAACCCUAAGUUACUUCUCGACUUAGUUUCUUUAACUUAAUGUUCUUAAAUCAUGCAUAAUCAUGACAUACAUGUUCAUUGCAUUUCGAUAGACUGUAAUCUUGCUGACGGAGAGUACAUCCUCGUGCCGGAGCAAGGAGCUGCUCAGGAGGUAGCCCCAGAUCCAGCACCAGAGCCAACUCAGGAGGACCUGCCUGCCACUGCUUUGGAAGGCAAGCCCCGGUUUUAUGCAUAACCUGUUUUAUAUGCUAUUUUACUACACUUAAUGAUUGUAGGCUUGUGUUGUGCACUUAAGUGUAGGAGUUGGUUGAAACCCUAGUUGCAUGAUCUCAGGAAUCCUUUUGAAAUGAGUACUAGUACGACAGGUCGAGUAGUUGCUUUAUUUAAAUAGGGUCUCGGUAGAAGACGAGUGAUUUUUCUAGCACUCGCGCGAGAUCAGGGAAUUGAUUGUACCCACUUUCACAUUAUCAUGAUACUGGUUUUUGGACAACAAUCCAUGGGGAUUGGUUGUAUAUGAGAUGAAAAUGGAAUAAGGAUUAAGGUGUGGUACCGUGUGUCAAGCGUUUGAACGUACUAAACACAUACCGAGAAAUAUGGUAAAUCGGUAAGCCUAGUACCUGAUUGAACCUGGCAGUAGACUUUGCCCCUCACGCGACCUGAGACGAGGUCUCCCAUUCCGGUUAUGGUGGGUACAAGUGCGGUCACUGCACGACGGCCAGUCGGGAUCAGUGAGGCAUUGUACGCCAAGGCGGUGAGCCCUGUUCUGCUGACGGGGAAUCGAUGGGGACGGUUGAUGUGUGUGGGGACGGAGUGCCCCUACAUGUCGUGUGUUUAGGUUUACCUUGCAAGGUUUAAAAACUCGAUUCGAAUCGUCUGCUUCUCGCAGUUAAUGAGACUGCUUGAUCCAUGCUGCUACAUUGAGUAAUAAGUGGAAAUAUGAUGAGUUGAGAUAAGAUGUUGAUUGUUAACAAUGCUUGCUACCAUGUAUGAGUAGAUAGUUCACUUUUAGCCUUAAGAGAGUCACACUUAACUUUGACUAAGUUAAAAUCUUGAUUUAGAAACUCAGCUAGUGCUUUUGGCAACCAAACCCCACAGCCAAACAGCUGCAUGUCUAGAGGUAGAGGAGUAGACUCCUCACACCGGGUAAGUCUAGCUGAGUAUUAGUAUACUCAGCCUUGCUUGUGGCAUAAUUUUUACAGGUUCUCUGGAGGAGAUGGUUGCUGGGAUCACUUGGCCGACCACCCUGCCACCGGGUUGGACUGUCGAGUGGGACCCUGCCUCGGCUGAGGAGGAGCAUGAGGAGUGAUGGGACAGGCUUCCCCAUCUCUCUGUUUAUUUAUCGUUAGUCUUAUUCCGCUGCAUUUCGAACAAUGAUGGUUACUUUUGCAAAACUCCGAUGAUGAUGAUGGUGAUGUAAUAAUUUAACACUGUGACAUGUAUGGUUUUAUGCUUUAUUGUAUUUGCUCUGUGACUCACCUUCGAGUGAGAUUGUGGUACUUGAUCCUGUCAGUGGCCGUGUCGGACUAGAUCCGAGGGAUUGACGGGUUAUUCCCAUUUAAGUGUGAUCUAGCCUCUAAGGCGGGAUUUGGACACUUAAGUUGGAAUAAUUCGGGCAGUUCCGCCACAAUUAGUAUCUUUCAAAUUGGUAUUCCUCUAAUAAGAAUAUCUCAAUUGGUAUAUCCCAAAACCCUCAAAAGCUAAGAGGAGAAUUUCAUUUAGGGGGAGUUUUGUUUAUGUCAAAGGAAAAGCAUUUGAAAUAGGGAGAGAAAAUUUAAAAUCUUGAAAAUGCUUCUUUCAAUCUUAUUCAUAUACCUUUGACUAUUUGCAAAAGGAUUUUGAAAAGAAUUUUACAAAGAAUUUGCAAAAACAAAACUAGUGGUGCAAGCGUGGUCCAAAAUGUUAAAUAAGAAGAAAGCAAUCCAUGCAUAUCUAGUAGAAAUAAUAUAUUGGUUCAAUUCCAAGCAAUCUAUGCACUUACAUUAUGCAAACUAGUUCAAAUCUGCACUUAUAUAUUUGCUUUGGUUUGUGUUGGCAUCAAUCACCAAAAAGGGGGAGAUUGAAAGGGAAAUAGGGUCAAACCUUUUCCUAAAUGAUUUUGGUGGUUGAAUUGCCCAACACAAACAAUUGGACUAACUAGUUUGCUCUAGAUUAUAUGCUCUACAGGUGUCAUAGGUUCAACACAAACCAAUAAAAAGAACAAGUUAGGGUUCAAAAAGAAAGGAGCAAAAGAAACCGAAGAUUGCCCUGGUCUGUGUGCCACCGGACAGUGUCUGGUGCACCACCGGACAGUGUCCGAUGUGCCACCGGACAGUGUUUGGUGCACCACCGGACAGUGUCCGGUGCACCAGAGAGAUCCACUCUAAACUCCUCAGCUUCGGGUUUCUGGAAAUGCCACUCCGCUAUAAUUCACUGGACUGUCCGGUGUAGCACCGAACUGUCCGGUGUGUCAUGCGGAGCAACGGCUACUGCGCCAACAGUCGUCUACAAAAGCAACAGUGAACAGUGAACAGUGCGCGGACUGCGCGCGUAGAGUUAGAGCAGCGCUAGAAGGCGCACCGGACAGUGAACAGUACCUGUCCGGUGCGGCACCGGACUGUCCGGUGCCCCAUGAAGACAAAGCUCCAACGGUCGAAACCAUCAGAACCCUAACGGUUGGGUGACGUGGCUGGCGUACCGGACAGUGUCCGGUGGCGCACCAGACUGUCUGGUGCGCCCUUCGACAGCAGACUUCCCCAACGGCUGUUUUGGUGGUUGGGGCUAUAAAUACCCCCAACCACCACACUUCAAUGCAUCCAAGUUUUUCAGACAUCUCACUCAAUACAAGAGCUAGUGCAUUCAAUACAAGACACAAUUAGAUUGAAUCAAAGCCUCUCCAAGUCCCAAUUCCACUCAAAACAAUUAGUGACUAGAAGAGAGAGUUUUGCUCGUGUUCUUUGAGCUCUUGCGCUUGGAUCGCUUUUCUUCUUCCUCUUUCUUGUUCUCAAGACAUUUGUAAUCAAAGCAAGAGACACCAAGUUGUGGUGGUCCUUGUAGGGGUCUAAGUGACCCGUUUGAUUAAGGAGAAAAGCUCACUCGGUCUAGGUGACCGUUUGAGAGAGGGAAAGGGUUGAAAGAGACCUGGUCUUUGUGACCACCUCAACGGGGAGUAGGUUGGCAAGAACCGAACCUCGGUAAAACAAAUCACUGUGUCAUCCGCUUCAUUUGCUUGUGAUUUGUUUUCACCCUCUCUUUCGGACUCGAUUUUAAUUCUAACGCUAAUCCCGGCUUGUAGUGUGUGCUUAAGUUUAUAAUUUUUUAGAUUCCGCCUAUUCACCCCCCUCUAGGCGACUUUCAGUGGUCACAAAGACCGGGUCUCUUUCAACCCUUUCCCUCUCUCAAACAGUCACCUAGACCGAGUGAGCUUCCUUCCUUGAUUUCUUGGGUCACUUAGACCCCGCAAGGACCACCACACAAUUGGUGUCUCUUGCUUCUCUUACAAGGCUUUGAGGAUAAGAAUGAGAGAAAGAAGAAAGCCAACCAAGCAACAAGAGCACUAAAGAAACACAAGAACGAUCCUCUCACAAGUCCUAAAGCACUAGAAUUGAAUCAGGGACUUUGAUUGGAUCAGAGGCUUUGAUUUGUGUCUUGAAGUGUUGCACUUUGCUCUUGUAUUGAAUGAUGAGUGUUGAAUGCUUGGAUGGUUGGAGUGGUGGUGGUCGAGGGGUAUUUAUAGCCCUCACCCACCAAAACAACCGUUGGGGAAGGCUGCUGUCGAUGGCGCACCGGACAGUCCGGUGUGCCACCGGACACUGUCCGGUGCGCCAGCCAUGUCACCCAACCGUUAGGAUUCUGUAGCAGACGACCAUUGGAGCGCUGACUUCUGGUGGCACCGGACAGUCCGGUGCCGUACCGGACAAACACUGUUCAGUGUUCGGUGCGCCUCUGAUGGGCGUCUCUGACUCUACGUGCACUGUUCUUUACUGUAGCUCUGAAUCUUUAGCUUUUGCAGUCUACCGUUGCGUCGGGUAGCCGUUGCUCCGCUAGUGCGCCGGACAGUCCGGUGACACACCGGACUGUCCGGUGAAUUAUAGCGGAGCGGUGCUGGAAAAACCCGAGAGUGGCGAGUUUUGACUUGUACGGUCCUGGUGCACCGGACACUGUCCAGUGCGCCAGACCAGGGCACUCUUGGUUUCUUUGCUCCUUUGAUUUUGAACCCUUUCUUCAAUCUUUUAUUGGUUUGUGUUGAACCUUUAUGCACCUGUGGAAUAUAUAAUCUAGAGCAAACUAGUUAGUCCAAUAUUUGUGUUGGACAUUUCAACCACCAAAAUUAUUUAUAGGAAAAGGUUUGACCCUAUUUCCCUUUCAAUCUCCUCCUUUUUGGUGAUUGAUGCCAACACAAACCAAAGCAAAUAUAUAAGUGCAGAAUUGAACUAGUUUGCAUAAUGUGAGUGCAUAGGUUACUUAGAAUUAAACCAAUUUAUACUUUUACUAGAUAUGCAUGGUUUGCUUUCUUUUAUUUAAAAUUUUGGACCACGUUUGCACCACUUGUUUUGUUUUUGCAAAUUUCUUUUGUAAAAUCUUUUCAAAGUCUUUUGCAAAUAGUCAAAGGCAUAUGAAUAAGAUUGCAAAAAGCAUUUUCAAGAUUUGAAAUUUUCUCCCCCUGUUUCAAAUGCUUUUCCUUUGACUAAACAAAAGCUCCCCCUGAUUGAAAUUCUCCUCUUAGCUUUCAAGAGGGUUUUACCAAUUUUUGUAAAUACCAUUUGUAAUACAUUUAGAUACCAGUUUGAAAAAUUCUUGAAAAUUUUAAAAUUGGUGGUGGUGCGGUCCUUUUGCUUUGGGCUAAAUACUUUCUCCCCCUUUGGCAUUAAUCGCCAAAAACAGAGACUUUGAGAGCCCUUUUAUAUUUUCUCCCCCUUUGGUAAACAAUAUAUGAGGGAAAGAUUAUACCAAAUUGGAGAGAAGGCGGAAUACCGACAAAGGGUAAGUAAUACCGAUGGAGUUGAGUGGAAGCGUUGUCUUUGCCGAAUAUUCCAUUUCCCUUUCAAUCUAAGACUAAUAUAAGAGAUACUCAUGGAAGCACAUUAGUCUUAGCCUUGGCAAAAGAAAUAUGAAUAUGUACCAAAUGAAAAAGAUGUGAUCAAAGGUAUAUAAAUGAGCUUUGUGUGCAAUGUUUCAAUCAAAAUUCUGAGAAUCAAGAAUAUUUAGCUCAUUCCUAAGUUUGCUAAAGGUUUUCUCAUCUAAAGGCUCAGUGAAGAUAUCGGCUAAUUGAUCUUUGGUGUUAAUGUAAGCUAUUUCGAUAUCCCCCCUUUGUUGGUGAUCCCUCAAAAAGUGAUACCGAAUGUCUUUGUGCUUAGUGCGACUAUGUUCAACGGGAUUCUCUGCCAUGCGGAUAGCACUCUCAUUGUCACAUAGGAGAGGGACUUUGCUCAAUUUGUAGCCAUAGUCCCUGAGGGUUUGCUUCAUCCAAAGUAAUUGCGCACAACAAUGGCCUACGGCAAUAUACUCGGCUUCGGCGGUUGAUAGGGCUACUGAGUUUUGUUUCUUUGAAGCCCAAGACACCAGGGAUCUCCCCAGAAACUGACAAGUCCCUAAUGUGCUCUUCCUAUCAAUUUUACACCCUGCCCAAUCGGCAUCGGAAUAUCCUAUUAAAUCAAAUGUGGAUCCCUUGGGUACCAAAGCCCAAACUUAGGAGUGUAAACUAAAUAUCUCAUGAUUCUUUUCACGACCCUAAGGUGAACUUCCUUAGGAUCAGCUUGGAACCUUGCACACAUGCAUACAGAAAGCAUAAUAUCCGGUCGAGAUGCACAUAAAUAGAGUAAGGAUCCUAUCAUCGACCGGUAUACCUUUUGAUCUACGGAUUUACCUCCCAUGUCGAGGUCGAGAUGCCCAUUGGUUCCCAUGGGUGUCUUGAUGGGUUUGGCAUCCUUCAUUCCAAACUUCUUAAGAAUGUCUUGAAUGUGCUUGGUUUGGCUGAUGUAGGUGCCAUCCUGGAGUUGCUUGAUUUGAAAUCCUAAGAAGUAUCUUAACUCCCCCAUCAUUGACAUCUCGAAUUUUUGAACCAUGAUCCUACUAAACUCUUCACAAGUAGAUUUGUUAGUAGACCCAAAUAUAAUAUCAUCAACAUAAACUUGGCAUACAAACAAAUCAUUUGCAACAGUUUUAGUAAAGAGUGUAGGAUCGGCUUUUCCGACUUUGAAGCCAUUAGUGAUAAGAAAAUCUCACAUGCAUUCAUACCAUGCUCUUGGGGCUUGCUUGAGCCCAUAAAGCGCCUUUGAGAGUUUAUAGACGUAGUUAGGGUACUCACUAUCUUCAAAGCUGGGAGGUUGCUCAACAUAGACCUCUUCCUUGAUUGGUCCAUUGAGGAAGACACUUUUCACGUCCAUUUGAUAAAGCUUAAAGCCAUGGUAAGUAGCAUAGGCAAGUAAAAUGCGAAUUGACUCAAGCCUAGCUAUGGGUGCAUAAGUUUCAUCGAAAUCCAAACCUUCGACUUGUGAAUAACCCUUGGCCACAAGUCGCGCUUUGUUCCUUAUCACCACACCAUGCUCAUCUUGCUCGUUGCGGAAUACCCACUUGGUGCCUACAACAUUUUGAUUAGGACGUGGAACCAAAUGUCAUACCUCAUUCCUCAUGAAGUUGUUGAGCUCCUCUUGCAUAGCCAUUACCCAAUCCGAAUCUCUUAAUGCAUCCUCAAUCCUGUAAGGCUCAAUAGAGGAAACAAAAGAGUAAUGCUCAUAGAAAUGUGCGACUCGAGAUCAAGUAGUUACCCCCUUAUGAAUAUCACCGAGGAUGGAGUUGGCAGGAUGAUCUCUUUGAAUCGCCUGGUGGACCCUUGGAUGUGGUGGUCUUUGACCCUAAAUUUCUUGAUCAUCUUCCUUAUCUUUAUCAUCAUUAUCUCCCCCUUGAUCCUUGUCCUCCUCUUGAGGUGGCUCACCUUCUUGAUCUUCUUCAUCAUCACCUUGAGCCUGUUCCUCAUCUUGAGUUGGUGGAGAUGCUUGUAUGGAAGAUGACGGUUGAUCUUGUGCUUGUGGAGGCUCUUCAGAUUCCUUAGGACAUACAUCCCCAAUGGACAUGUUCCUUAGUGCGACGGGCCUCUUCAUCAUCUAGUUCAUCAAGAUCAACUUGCUCCACUUGGGAGCCAUUAGUCUCAUCAAACACAAUGUCACAAGAAACCUCAACCAAUCUAGUGGAUUUGUUGAAGACUCUAUACGCCCUUGUGUUUGAGUCAUAUCCUAGUAAAAAGCCUUCUACAACCUUAGGAGCAAAUUUAGAUUUUCUACCUUUUUAACAAGAAUAAAGCAUUUGCUACAAAAGACUCUAAAAUAUGAAACAUUUGACUUUUUACGGUGAGGAGUUCAUAAGAUGUCUUCUUGAGGAUUCGGUGAAGAUAUAACCAGUUGAUGGAGUAGCAGGCGGUGUUAAUCGCCUCGGCCCAAAACCGGUCCGGAGUCUUGUACUCAUCAAGCAUGGUUCUUGCCAUGUCCAGUAGAGUUCUAUUCUUCCUCUCCACUACACCAUUUUGUUGAGGUGUGUAACACCCCUGGUGUUACUGUAACUAAAACUUGAGCAUGGCAUCAUAAACAUUGGCAUUGCAUAUGUUUGACACACCUAGAGUGCAUCCACUAGGUAAAAAUUUCAAACAAGUGUAUUGUUUUUAGUAUUUUGCAAAUAGGACCCUGGAUAGGGAACCUGACUCUAAAUAAGGCUCAAAGGGGCAAAACUUAACCCAAAUGAAGAAAACCUAAAGGCUUUAGGGGAAUAGUCAUAAAAUGAUCCCAAGACUUAAGUGGAAUUACACUUGGACCCCUGGGAUACCAGAAAUCUUAAUUGGAACCCUGGAAAACCCUAAAACCAAACCCUAGGGACCUAUGUGCAAAAUUAGUCCACUUUUGAACUAAAGUGCAAAAACCAAGUUAAAUAAGUAUCUUAAGUCAUUUGGGUCACAAAUAUGUGAAUUUGCAAGUUAAACCCUAAGUUUUGGGCUUAUUUGCAAAACUCACCUCUUAAGUCCUUAAUAGUCUAAGUCUGAUUUUCAGUGUGAUUGGCUCAACUUGAAGCCCUUGUAACUUUCAAAUUAUGGGGUUUUUGCCCUAGGUCACCACAUCAAAAUUGUAGCCUAAUUAUAGAAGAACAACUUUGCUUAAGAGUGCAAGCCAUGUUCUUGUGAGAAAUUUGGAGAUAAUCAGGUCUGAAGUUAAGCUGUCAGGCUGGUUCAGUCUGAAAUUAAGAUGUUCAGUGUAACAGAGCCAACUUUGAGUAAGAAUUCAACCUUGAUUUAGUGCUCAAAUGGGUUCAAGUCCUAUAGCCGAAUUAUUGCUGGUUUAUAGCUCUACAACUUUGUUGCAGAAAGUAGGCUUAGGUUCCACAUAAAAAUUGGAGGAAACAGGGCUCCAAUUUGAUCUGUCAGUCAAGCUUUCUACUCAAUCUGGUGCACUGUUCAUCGGUUUUCAGUAACAUCGCGCCGUGGAUAAGGAUUGGCUCGCCGGCGAUAAGGAUGUCGCCGUGGCUCGGGUAAGACGUCGGCGGCCACGACAAAAGUUACCGGCGACGUGUCAGAGCAUCCCUUAGGUGGCAGGCCCCGGUUAAACGGCGGUCACCGCGCUGUCACCGGAAUCCGCCGCGCGGGUGUGCUCGCCAGCGUAGUCACAGCUCGGGGAUCUCAUCCCUCCUCGGCCGGCCGACUAUAAAUUGGGCUCUGGCGUUGCUUCGUUGUUGCAUCACACGCCCAAGCGAUCACCCAAUUGGCUCAAUUUCACUGAAGAACCCACGAGUUCUUUCCUCCCUGUUCUUAGCUCCGCCGCAAGAAUCCUCACCGUGGCCAGCUCGGUUUAGGUGAGCUCAAGUUCCUCUGUUGCUUGUUCUAGCGUUCUCAUGUGCUAUUGAUACUCACCGAUCCCUCCAAUUGAAUUAGACUACUACUGUUCACCGUGAACGCGUGGUUCUUUGGAUCGUCCGCGCGGUCACCGUGGCCAGGAACAUUAGGGUCGCCGUUCAUGCAAUUGACUUAGGGGAAACGUUGACUGGGGCAUGAAUUCGGUUCCGGCCAAUGAAGGGCGUCAGUCCUUUCCCCAAUCGGCCGGCCUACUAGCUCGUCGGAGCUCCUCAUCGCGCUGCCGUCGUCGGGGACCUUCCCCUGUGAAGAAUUAGAAGCUUGAGGGUGUUUCUGUAAACCGUCAGCGACACGUAAGAACAGUAAAGGAACUUGUUUCCUGUUACCCAGAACUCCGGGGACCUCUGUGCAAAACUGCCAUCGCGCGCGGGCGCGGGCGCGCGUUUCCUGUGUGGUUGGGCUGGUUCGAGCCAGAAUCAUCCCACUACUGUUUCACAUUUUCCUUUUUUCUUUUUCUGUCCAGCUUUAGAAAUAGGUAUAAAAAAGUAGCAAAAUGGUAAAAUUGUGAAACUAAUUUUCCUAGCCUUCUUAUUUUACCUAGAAUUUAAUAAAAAUAGUUUCAUGAUUUUUGGGUUAAAUUAGGAAUUUUAAGGUAUUUAAAAUAGUUUAAGAUAGUAGUUUUGGAUUUUUAGAAGAUAAAUGAUAAUCCCAAAAAUGCUCAAACUUUUUAUAUGAGUUCCUCAUAUUAUUUAAAAGCCUUGGGUAGAAUUUGGGUUGAUUUGGACCUUGUUUGAUCACCAAACCCCAAAACACCCCCUGCCCUCUGAACUCCUUUACUGACUCCGGAAACCCUAAGUUCUCGGAGUUCCGUGAAGGAAAGUUGUAUUCAAGACUUAGAUAAUAAGUUUAUAUUAUCUUUGCACCCUCAUGAGCAUUACAUGGCAUUCAUUCUUAUAUACAUAUGAAUGGUUAUGAUUAGAACACGAAGAAGAAGUGGAAGCCACUGAAGAGCAAGUACCACCACCUUUGGAAACACAGGCUGAGAACUGUUUCUACUUCGAUAUUUGUGGAUCUGAGCCUGACUCACCCAUAAACAAAGGCAAGCCCAGGUACAUUUGCCACCCCCCUUGUGUUUUAAAAUCUUUCUCACUUGCUUGAUGCACUAGGUGAUAGGUGUUGAUUGCUUAAACAAUUCCUGCAUUACUUUCCUUGGAUUUGAUUACCUUCCUUGAAACCCUGUUUUUAUAAAAAGGUUUUACUAUGCUUAGUAUUGCUCUAGAAAAGAAAAAGGAUUUGUUUUACAAAAGAUGUUUGGCAAAGUGGGAGGGUUGUUUUCAAAAUAAAACUUAAUGGUGAACCUGUCAAAGGCCUUGAUGGAUUCAACAUCGGAAAAGAUGUACCUCUGCCAGGUACCAACCUUUGGGGUGAAAUGAUUAAGCUGAGACCGGGCGGGUGACUUGCACGAGAAAGAGAGUCUCGGUGUAGUGUCUCCGUCUGAGUCGAUUAAGUACCUUGUCGAUGUAGGCUUGAUGAUCGAGGACCCUUUAACUGGUCACGUGCCUCGUCAUGGGUAAGCCUUGCCUCGGGCAGACUAAGGCCAGAAUAAGAUAACACGAAAUGGGCGUGGAGCGGUGGCGAGAGUAGCGUGUACCCUCCGUGGCAAGAGGCUGGACGGUGGUGUAUCUGUGCUCUCGGUUUGCGUGAACCUGAUCUGGUCUUAAGAACCCUGGUGGCGGGUUGACAUAUACAAGGGUUAAGUGCUACAUAUGUCGUGUGAUCGGAGAUCCUCAGCUGAGUAUAAUCGAUUCGGAUCGCCGUACCUUCGCGGUUAUGAAGACUUGGUCACUGCCCUACACGUAGCAAUCCAGUAAAGAUGAAGGAUGAAUUAAGAACUUGGCUAGUUCAGGAUAAGUGUUUGAACUAGGUUAGAGAGAACUCUAGAGAUAAGUAAGUUUACUUAACUUGACCAAUAAAACUGGAUUUUUAAGGAUCCACUUUAGUAAGCAUUUCUGCAAAACAGAGUCUUUGAUUAUUGAGAAGCCUUACCUUGACUUCCUUUAACCAGCAUACCCUUGAGAGUCUUUUCCUUAGUCGGGUAAGACUUGCUGAGUAAUUCCAUACUCAGGGUUUAUUCCCCCGUUGUUUUUAGGUGUGGAGACAACAAACUUUUGUUGUUUUUGUACCAAGGUGGUGAAAAGUGAAGAUAAUCAAGAAUGAAGCUGCCGGAGGACCGGGUCCUCCUUAAAAACUUUUAUGUAAAGAACUUAAUGGGAGGAGCUUUUACCUCCCAGGUAUUGUAAUAAUACUUUUCUGCACUCGCUUAUACUCUGGUCUGUAUUAAACGACUUACUCUUACUUUUCAAUAAAUGUAAGUUUAUGUAAUCACUUCCGCAUUUCCGCAUCUCCGAUGAACAUAUUGUCUGUCAGACGGGUGAAACGUUCCUGGAAAGGUAAGGAUAAAGAUACCGAACUUGUCAAGUGAUUCAGGAACAUCUACAGGGUUGUCUGAUGUCUGUUGGACAAGGACAACUGUAGGUGGGCCUAAUGACUUGGGAGGUUCCGUCACAAGGUGUGUAGGGAGAAGAGAACUCAUGCUUGAUGCCCUCCUCCUCAAGGAAGCCUUCAAUUUGAGAGUUCUUGAACUCCGUCCCAUUGUCGCUUCUUAUCUUUUUGAUCCUUAAGCCGAACUCAUUUUGAGCCCGUCUCAAGAAUCCUUUUAAGGUCUCUUAGGUCUAUGAUUUUUCCUGCAAAAAGAAUACCCAAGUGAAGCGAGAAUAAUCAUCCACAAUAACUAGACAGUACUUACUCCCAUCGAUGCUUAUGUAAGCGAUCGAGCCAAAUAAAUCCAUGUGGAGUAGCUCGAGCGACCUGUCAGUUGUCAUGAUGUUCUUGUGUGGAUGAUGGGUGCCAACUUGCUUUCCUGCUUGACAUGCGCUACAAACUCUGUCUUUCUCAAAAUGAACAUUUGUUAGUCCCAAAAUAUGUUCUACCUUUAGAAGUUUGUGGAGACUCUUUAUUCCAACAUGGGCAAGUCGGUGAUGCCAGAGCCAACCCAUAUUAGUCUUAGCAAUUAAGCAAGUGUCAAAUUUAGCUCUAUUAAAAUCAACUAAGUAUAGCUGACCCUCUAACACUCCCUUAAAUGCUAUUGAAUCAUCACUCCUUCUAAAGACAAUAACACCUACAUUACUAAAAAGACAGUUGUAACCCAUUUUACAUAAUUGAGAAACUGAAAGCAAGUUGUAAUCUAAAGAAUCUACAAGAAAAACAUUGGAAAUAGAAUGGUCAGGUGAUAUUGCAAUUUUACCAAGUCCUUUGACCAAAUCUUGAUUUCCAUCUCCGAAUGUGAUAGCUCUUUGGGGAUCUUCGUUUUUCUCAUAGGAGGAGAACAUUCUUUUCUCCCCAGUCAUGUGGUUUGUGCAUCCGCUAUCAAUUAUCUAGCUUGAGCCCCCGGAUGCAUAAACCUGCAAAACAAUUUAGGCCUUGUUCUUAGGUACCCAAACAGUCUUGGGUCCUUUGACGUUAGAGUCAAGCACGUUGGGUACCCAAACACAAGUCUUUGAUCCCUUGUGUUUGCCCCCAACAUAUUUGGCAACUACUUUGCCUGAUUUGUUAGUGAGCACAUAAGAAGCAUCAAAAGUCUUAAAUGAAAUAUUAGGCUCAUUUGAUGCAGCAGGAGUUUUCUUUUUAGGCAUUUUAACAUGAGUAGAAUGCCUAGAGCUAGAAGCCUCAUUCUUAUACAUAAAAGCAUGGUGAGAAACACUAUGAGGUUUUCUAGCAUGAAUUCUCCUAAUUUUGUGCUCAGGAUAAUUAGCAGGAUAUAAAAUGUAGCCCUCAUUAUCCUAAACCAUGGGUGCCUUGCCCUUAACACAUUUAGAUAAUUUCUUAGGGGCAUUAAGCUUGACAUUGCUUCCCUGUUGGAAACCAAUGCCAUCCUUAAUGACAGGGCGUCUCCCAUUAUAGAGCAUAAUUCUAGCAAAUUUAAAUUUUCAUUUUCAAUCUCAUGCUCAUUAAUUUUAGUAGUUAAUUGAGCUAUAUGAUCAUUUUGUUGUUUAAUUAAACAAGGUGAUCAUUUAUAACAUCAAUAUUAACAUCUCUUCAUCUAGUGCAAAUGGAAACAUGCUCAACAGUAGAUGUAGAUGGUUUGCAAACAUUUAAUUCAUCAAUCUUAGCAUGUAAUAUAGCAUUCUCAUUUCUAAGACUGGAAAUAGAAUCAUUGCAAACAUUCAAAUCUUUAGCCUUAGCAAUUAAUUUACCAUUCUCAAUUUUAAGGCUAGAAACUGAUUCAUUCAAUUUAUCAAUCUUAGCAAUUAAACUAUCAUUUUCAUUUCUAAGGCUGACAAUUGAAUCAUUACAAGCAUUUAAUUCUUCGACCUUAGCAAUCAAACUAGCAUUCUCAGUUCUAAGGUUGGAAAUAGUGUCAUGGCAAAUGCUAAGCUCCUUAGUCAAAUUUUCAUUUUUCUCUACUUCCUGAACAUAAGCAUUUUUUUACUUUAACAUGCUUCUUGUUUUCCUUAAUAAGGAAUUCCUCUUGGCUAUCCAAAAGUUCAUCCUUCUCAUGAAUGGCUCCUAUCAAUUCAUUCAAUUUUUCUUUUUGUUGCAUGUUAAGGUUGGCAAAAAGAGUAACCAGAUCAUCUUCAUCUUCACUAGAGCUCCCCUCAUCACUAGAUGUUGUAUAUUUGGUGGAGGCUCUAGAUUUUACCUUCUUUUUGUCGUCCUUUGCCAUGAAACACUUGUGGCCGACAUUGGGGAAGAGGAGGCCCUUGCUGACGGCGAUGUUGGUGGCAUCCUCGUCGGAGGAGGAGUCGCUGGAGCUCUCGUCGGAGUCCCAUUCCCGACAUAUGUGGGCAUCGCCGCCCUUCUUCUUGUAGUACUUCUUCUUCUCCUUCCUCUUUCCCUUCUUGUCGUCACCCCUGUCACUAUCACUAGACAUAGGACAUUUAGCGAUAAAAUGACCGGGCUUACCACAUUUGUAGCACACCCUUUUGAAACGGGGCUUAUAAUCUUUCCCCUUCCUUUGCUUGAGGAUUUAGCGAAAGCUCUUGAUGAUGAGCGCCAUUUCCUCAUUGUCAAGCUUGGAGGCGUCGAUGGGGAGCCUACUUGGUGUAGACUCUUCUUUCUUCUCCUCCAUCGCUUUGAAUGCGACCGGUUGCACCUCGGGUGCGGAGGUGGCGCCUUGCUCCAAGUUGACGAUGUGUUUGGAGCCUUUGACCAUUAGUUCAAAGCUCACAAACUUCCCUAUUACUUCCUUGGGAGACAUUAGCUUAUAUCUAGGAUCACCACGUAUUAAUUGAACUUGAGUAGGAUUAUGAAAUACGAGUGAUCUAAGAAUAACCUUGACCAUUUCAUGGUCAUUCCAUUUUGUGCUCCUGAGGUUGCGCACUUGAUUCACCAAGGUCUUGAGACGGUUGUACAUGGCUUGUGGCUCCUCUCCUUGGUUGAGGACGAAUCGACCGAGCUCCCCCUCGAUCGUCUCCCGCUUAGUGAUCUUGGUCACCUCGUCCCCUUCGUGUGCCGUCUUGAGGACGUCCCAAAUUUCUUUGGCCGUCUUUAACCCUUGCACCUUAUUAUACUCCUCUAGACACAAGGAGGCGAAGAGUAUAGUUGUGGCUUGAGAGUUAAAGUGCCGAAUUUGGUCGACCUCGCCCGAGUCGUAGUCCUUGUCCCCUACCUUCGGUACCUGUGCUCCAUACUCAACAAUAUCACAUAUGCUUUUGUGGAGUGAGGUUAGAUGAUGCCUUAUUUUAUCACUCCACAUAGAAUAAUCUUCACCAUCAAAAUAUGGUGGUUUUCCUAAGGGAACAGAAAGUAAUAGAGCGCGCUUUGAAAUGUGAGGAUAGCAGAGGGGCAUCUUACUAUACUUCUUGCGCUCAUGGCGCUUAGAAGUAGUGGACGACGAGUCGGAGCCAGAGGUGGAGGGCGACGAAGAGUCGGUCUCGUAGUAGACCACUUUUUUCAUCUUCUUCUUCUUGUCGCCUCUCUGAUGGGUUUUGUUGGAGGAAGAGGAUUCCUCCUUAUGCUUGUGGUCGGACUCCCUUGAGUGGGUUCUCCCUGAGCUUGCGGGCUUGUCGCAGGUCACGAUCUUCCUCUUGGCGUGAUCUCCCGACAUCACUUUGAGUGGUUAGACUCUAAUGAAGUACUAGGCUCUGAUAUCAAUUGAAAGUCGCCUAGAGAGGGGUGAAUAGGCAUAAUCUGAAAUUUAUAACUUAAAACACAAACUACAAGCCAGGGUUAGCGUUAGAAUUAAAACCGAGUCUGGGAGUAGAGGGGAAAAACAAAUCAACCAAGAAAUAGAGCGGAUGACACAGUGAUUUGUUUUACCGAGGUUCGGUUCUGAAGAACCUAGUCCUCGUUGAGGUGGUCACAAAGACUGGGUCUCUUUCAACCCUUUCCCUCUCUCAAACGGUCACCUACACCGAGUGAGCUUCCUUCCUUGAUUUCUCGGGUCACUUAGACUCCGCAAGGAGCACCACAUAAUUGGUGUCUCUUGCUUCACUUACAAGGCUUUGAGAAUAAGAAUGAGAGAAAGAAGAAAGCCAACCAAGCAACAAGAGCACCAAAGAAACACAAGAAUGAUCCUCUCACAAGUCCUAAAGCACUAGAAUUGAAUCAGGGACUUUGAUUGGAUCGGAGGCUUUGAUUUGUGUCUUGGAGUGUUGCACUUUGCUCUUGUAUUGAAUGAGGAGUGUUGAAUGCUUGGAUGGUUGGAGUGGUGGUGGUUGAGGGGUAUUUAUAGCCCUCACCCACUAAAAUAACCAUUGGGGCAGGCUGCUGUCGAUGGGCGCACCGGACAGUCCGGUGCGCCACCGGACACUGUCCGGUGUGCCAGCCACGUCACCCAACUGUUAGGGUUCUGGAGUAGACGACCAAUGGAGCGCUGACUUCUGGUGGCACCGAACAGUCUGGUGCCGCACCGGACAGACACUAUUCAGUGUCUGGUGCGCCUCUGACGGGCGGCUCUGACUCUACGCGCACUGUUCUUUACUGUAGCUCUGAAUCUCCAGCUUUUGCAGUCGACCGUUGAGCCGAGUAGCCGUUGCUCCGCUGGUGCACCGGACAGUCCGGUGGCACACUGGACAGUCCGGUGAAUUAUAGCGGAGCGGUGCUGGAAAAACCCGAGAGUGGCGAGUUUGGACUUGUACGGUCCUGGUGCAGCGGACAGUACGGUGCGCCAGACCAGGGCACUCUUGGUUUCUUUGCUCUUUUGAUUUUGAACCCUUUCUUCAAUCUUUUAUUGGUUUGUGUUGAACCUUUAUGUACCUGUGGAAUAUAUAAUCUAGAGCAAACUAGUUAGUCCAAUAUUUAUGUUGGGCAUUUCAACCACCAAACUUAUUUAUAGGAAAAGGUUUGACCCUAUUUCCCUUUCAAAAGUACCUGGCCCACGUGGCCUGCUCAACGGGGAGUAGGUUCUUCAGAACCGAACCUCAGGAAAUAAAUCACCGUGUUCAUUUGUGUUGAUCAUUACUUUGCGAUUUGAAUCUUCAUCUCCCCUCUCUAAGUUCUCUUGCUUGUAAUUACUUUGAGUUAGCUCCUAAAGUUAUUUGCAUUGAUUAACUUGUGGCAAGAAGAACUCCCUUCCGCACUCCAAUUUCAUUUAUACUCGUUCUAAUGCUAACCAUGCGUGAAGUUCAUGUUCAAAAUUUAUAAUUUCUAGGUUUUGCCUAUUCACCACCUCUAGGCAACUUUCACACACGAUUGAUCUAUAGUAACAAAAAAAUGUGAUGCUCUAAGUGUCAUGCUCACGUGUGAAUGUGAAAGUCACCUAGAGGGGGUGAAUAGGUGAAACCUUAAAUUUAUAAACUUGAACACAAAACUUCACCCAAGUUUAGCGUUAUAAUGAGGAUAAAUGAAAUCAGAGUGCGGAAGAGAGUUCUACUUGCUUAGAGUUUCUCAAUCAAUUGUGGAUAACUAUGGAAGCCAACUCAAAUCGAUUGUAAGCAAUAGAAGAAAAAUCAAAUCGCAAAGAAAGAUUAACACAAAGACACAUGCGAUUUGUUUAUCGAGGUUCGGUUCCAAAGAAUCUACUCCCAAAGUCCCAAUUGAGGAGUCCAUGUAGGACGGGUAUCUUUCAACCCUUUCCCUCUCUCAAAUGGUCACUUAAACCAGAUGAGUGCUUCUUCUUAACCUCGAGGGUCACUUAGACCUCGCAAGGAUCGUCACACACUUAGGUGUCUCUUUCUACCUUUACAAGCGAGUGAGAUCAGGAGUGAGAGGAAGAAAGCACGAUCAAAACACCAAGCAAAAAGAACAACAAGAAUUCACAAUGUCACACGCUAGAAAAAAUAUUAAAAUAUCUAGAAAAAACAAAAAGUUCUUAAAACAUUUGAGAGCUAAUUUAAUGCAUGCCACUAAAAAUCCUGAUAACGUCUCUUCGAUGCCAUCACAAUAUUUAUCUUUCUAGGGUGUUGCCCACUUCCGCGAGCUUCCAUCCAUUCUUGUUUGCAAAACACCAUCUGUUGGGGUCUUCUUCUCCACCGAAGGUCCUCAAGAUGAAGAUAUCAUUAUUAAAAUAUAGUUGAGGAUCUUCUUCCCUGCCGAAGGUCCUCGAGACGAAGAUAUUAUCUGGGAGCGAUAACGAAAAAUGUCGAAGCUACGGCUGAAGGACAACAACUUCGGCUUAAGGUGGCGACGAAGGUCAAGAAUGAUGCCGAGUCGAAGAGGAAAAGACUAGUUAAUCCUUGAUGAUUUAUGUUACGAUUAUGUGUAUAUGUCAAGGUCAUAAAUGUAUUUUUACUUGGGCUACGUCCCGUGUCUAUAAAUAGGUGAACAAUACCCCAUACUCUUCACGCUGAAUUGUACCUGCCAUCGCAUCACCACCUUUGAUCAAGCCGAAGGUAUCAGUGUAAUAUAAAUUCUGUUAAUUGAAGCGCCCCAGUCCUUUGGGACUCAAAUGUGAUACAAUUACUAGUCCCAGGAGGCUAGUAAACACAUUUAUACAUCAGAUGAUUCCAGAUCUUCUUAAAUGAGACAAACCUAUAAAGGUGGCGAUCAACUUUAAGAGUUGAUCCACAACUUGGGACAUAUCAUCAGAGUGGGGCUGAAGCAGCCCGAUAUACGUAGCGAAGCAAAUCAGCGGUCCAACAGUCAUAGACAAGGUUGGGAACAGGCGUAACUCUUACCCGAUCAAUGAUUUCCUUCUCUGAAAAAUAACAAAUAAGCAAGGGUGAGUACUUCGUACUUAACCACCUUCACCCACAGAAUGGGAAAAUCAGAUAUAAUGCAUGGAAUAUGUGGAGCUUAGGAUAUUUUGCAGAAAGAGCAAUAUUUGAUGCACGGUUAUUUUAUAAAAACUUUUUAUAUUUUUCAAAGCACAUCCUCUCCCAAGGGAGCAGGAAGUUUUUCAAUAUAGAACAAAAUCCCCUGAACUAAACCAUCCAGGUAUCUCAGCAGUUUCCCACUGGUUUUUCAUUUUCAAAAACAGCUAAUGGACUUCCCGUCCACCAUAGCACACGGCUCAACCACCGGACCUUAUAAAACCACUUUUUAAAAGCAUUUUUGGAAAACAAAACACUAAUUGUCAAAUCCAAGCCAUAACUCAUCCAUAUCUCGCGGACUAUUCGAAUAGGUUUUUAAACUCCGCGCAGAGGUGUACUCUUUACCCACUAGUCCAGUUUCUGUAAUCUCACCGUCGUGAGAUCCGAAUGUCGAAACUCUUUCCUUCCUUGCACAUCCUUACCUUAGCGAUUAUACCGGAAGGAACAAGGCCACCACCAUGCCCAAACCGGACAAAACAUUCCUCUUUCUUAUCCUCCCGGUGGUCCCCAACCAUCAUAAUCCUGGGGUUCGGACCGUGCAAGUUCAGAUCAAGCGACUGCCCAUACAGUCUCAAGUGGUUGUACUUGAUAAGAGUAUAGGUAAGGAGUGAUGACAAACCGGUCCUUAGGUGAGAGGGACAAUCCUUCAUGCUCACACCUAACCUGGUUGAGCCAUCACCUUAGGCCCUCCCAAACCAGGGAGUCCCUGAUCAUCCCACUCAGGGGUGAUAAGGGUGACAACCCUUCGUCAUACCCAUUUUGAAAGACAUUUUCUUUUGAAAACUCACACCUUUUCUCAAAUCAUUUGUAACAAAGAUGUCAAGGAGUAUAUAGAUUGAUUGCGGCAAAGUUCUAUGGCUAGGUGGCCAUAAUAACUUGUCUGUUAGCAGCAAAAUCAUAUCAUGCAUAAAAUAACAGGCUGAGGGUUGUGGUUGAAAAAGCAUAGGUAAUUUAUGCAUCAAAGGGAUCCAACGAGCUUACCGUGCUUUAACCUGCGAAAGGGUGAGAGCUCGCGGAACUGGCUUCUGGCACCACCGUCUGGCGUAGACUUGCAGAUCUAGCCUUCACGAGAUGGCACAAACGCUUUGAUAACUAUGCAACAUGAAUAAGCAAACAUACAAGCCAGCAAGUAUAUCAACAAAUAUUUAGUAUAGUGGUCAGAAUGGUGAUAUAUGGAUGGGUAGAGUCUUGAGCAGAAUCUAUGUCAUGUGGUGUUGUGGUAUUACUGGUGGUGGAGUGGGGUGCCUACCAGGAGAGUGGAUUGUAGGCGAAGCGACACUAUGCUCGUAGCCGGCAGAGCAGGGUAACUAAGUGGGUGGGGUGUUUGCCUUGGCUGAGGGUGUUGAGUGUGUGGAGAGGGAGAGGGUAGCUGGAUAUAUUUAUAGCUGGGUAUCUGUGGUUUUAGUACAGUAGAAUUCACUGUUGGUGAGAAUAGUGGCGAAUGAAUUGUCUGACUUAGUCUGGACAGGGAAAUUAUAAGCAGAAUAUGGGACAAGAGCAUUUUGGGAGUUUUCUGGAAUAUGAAUCAUGCUUAAGGGAUGACUUGGUUGGAUAGGGAAUAAUUUGAUAAGAAUUUAGAAACAAGAAUUAUUGGAAUAUGAGUUUGGAAGCCUGGUUCGAAAGAAUCUCAAAGUUAAGCGUGCUCAACUUGGAGAAAUCUAGGAUGGGUGAUCAGAUGGGAAGUUCUUACUGGAAGGAAAAUCACAGUCACUAGAGUUCGUAUGACUGGAAUAUUGGUCUGACAGGUCUUAGGUGAGCUGGACAACAUGAUGGAUAAGAGUUGAAUAUUUGGGUGAUCGGAUGAUCGAUGAAUAGUAACGAUAAAUAGCAUCGAUGAAUAGUUCGUAUGAACGAACGAUGAACGGUGAAUAGUGACUAUAAACGAACGAUGAAUGAUGAAUAGGGACUAUGAACGAACGAUGAACGAUGAAUAGGAACUAUGAACGAAUGAUGAACGAUGAAUAUGGAUGAUGAACGAACGAUGAACGAUGAAUAGGGACUAUGAACGAAUGAUGAACAAUGAAUAGGGACUAUGAACGAUGGAUAGGGACUAUGAACGAACGAUGGAUGAUGAAUAGGGACUAUGAACGAACGGAGGAACGGUCGAAUGAUCGGACGAACGAACGAUCGGAAUUUCGGUAGCAUAACGACUGAACAAAGAUUAUUUGGACGAACGAACAGUCGAACGAUCGAGCGAACGAACGAACGAACCAUGAACGAUCGGACGAACGAACGAACAAACUAAGAACAGGUGGACGAACGAUCGAAUGAAUGACCGAACGAUCCUUGUGCUUGUGUUGUGCUUGUGUGGGAGUGGGAGUGGGGGAGAGAGUUGCCAUGAAUUGGCUUGGGGUGGCUUGAUGGGAGGCCCUUGCCCCUCUAUUUAUAGGCAAGGUGGGGGAUUACGGGGAGGAGGCGAGGAUUAUUAGUGGGAGGAUACGAGGAUUAGUGGGAGAUAAGCAUGUAGUAGUCAUGUAUAAGUGAAAUUAGCUUGUAGAGCUCAAUGUAUGACACCGGGGGCGUACGUAUACGUAUGAGCAUGAGGAAAAUUAUGAAGAAAAUAUUUGUAGGGACUUUAAAAAUGAUUCUGAAGGUAUUUAUCAGGAAGAAAAUAUUUGGAGAAUUAUCGGUGGAAUAUUUGGGCAGUAUUUCUGGAAAGAAUGAGGGGAAUCACUGGGGAAAUAUUUGUAGGAUAUUUUGAGGAGGAUUUCUGGAGAGAAUAUAGACCACUAUAUUUUCUUUGUUGAGAUCAACUGGCAAACAAACAUUUUGAAAUGAAAUUUAAAAUUCAUUUUGAAUUUAGAGCGAGUUUGAGAAUUUUUCAAGAUUUGAAUUUUUGGGGUGAUACAUUAAUGCUCAUGUAUAUAUACAUCACAAUUUGGACACACAAAUAAAUAAAUGGAUGAAUACAUAACAUAUUGUUUCUAUGGAUUAUUAUUUUUGAUAAGUGAUGAAGAUGUGUUCUCCAUGACCUUCAUCUAAAGAUCAUUAUACCCGAAAGAAGAUAAUGACCCAAAGGACGAAGGUCCUUUAUCUUUAACAAUUGUGUUGCCUUGUUCUUGAUCCACAACAUUUGAGAACAAGUAACCAACAUCAUCUAAGCCACACUUUCAACUAAAGCAAAACAUUGCAUAAGACAAAGUGAGGUGGAUCCUCACGCUCUCAUGCUCUCGAGCACAAGCCAAGAAAGCCUAAGUUUCGUCCUUACAUCCCUAACUCACCUUUCAUUAUGAGUUAGAGAAGGCUUGCGCUUGGCACGCAUGGCUUAUGCACCUCUCCAAGUAAGUUUGUUUGGUUUGCUUCACCUUAGCUUUUACCAUUGGGGUAUCCCUUUACUAUAAUAGUUGCAUCCCUUUCACAAUGCUCAUGUUUACGAUCAAUCUUUUUACAUUGUAACCCUCAAACCUAUUUAAUUAAUACCUUACAAGUAAUGUCAAUUUCCCCCGAAUUAAUUAUAGAAAGUUGCCCAUGCUACUUUGACUCUCGUCCUAUGUUUGUAAAGCCUUUACCUAGGACAAUACCCUCUCGACUAGUCUUCUGAGUUCCCAACACUCUAAACGUGCCGUAAGCCUUUGAAAUAAUAAGCAACUCUAAUGAUUACCCAUCUAUCAAUUGAAUGGGAGUGCUUACGAUAACAACUAAAACAUCUCGAGCGUGGUGACCAUCUAAUGGUGCAACACACAAUCCACUAGAAGACCAAUGACACAUCGCCAUGCAAACAUGACAUAUCCAUGCUUCACCCAACAUAUUUUAUGUAUCAUUCCUCCUCACUCAUUCUACUCCCUAGCUACUUCCUAAAAAAGUGUCUCCUAUACUUAGGCAGGUUUUCCUAUACAAGGGAUUACUUAUCGAGCCUCUCUUAUAGAAAUGCUCGUUAAGAUCCUAUUCAUAUUAGUAAAUCACUUAGUAAUCACAUCUUCGAUGUAUGUAGCAGGUCUUGUUAUCUAAAUGCAUGCAAUCAAUUUGUAUACUUGAAAUCAGAUUACAUAAAGAUGGUUGUUUUGUUUGACAUAUAACCGUUGUAGACUCAAGAUGAGAAGAUCAAGAAAAGAGAAGGGUAAAGAAUGUCAUAUAUCUCAAGAGCUAGAUAAUUUUCUGAUAAACAAGUUGGAAUUGCCUCAGCAAAAAUGGAUGGAAUUGGACCAAAAAAGUUAUUUAGUUUUGUUGUUGAUUAUACAUCAGUGGAAACAUCAAGAUUCAUGAGUCAACCAAGUAUCACAUUGACCAAAUUGAACAAACGAUAGAUCAAGGUUGUGUUCAUUGAGAAUGUAAUACGGGAGAAUGAACAUACAUUAAACAGUAAAUUUCUAUUUCCUUUUAUAGCAAAAAAUCAUGUACUAAUGCAGAACAAACAAGAUGUUCACACACGUUCAUUUACUUCUCGUGACUAAUCUCAUAGGCUACACACAAUUGCUCUAUAGUGACAAAAAUGUGAUGCUCUAAGUGUCAUGCUCAUGUGUGGAUGGUUGGAAAGAUGACAUUACUUGUGCAUGAUUGGUACGAGAGGUUGUCGAGUGUUAUGCUAAUGCGAGACGAGUCACACGUUAACGUGCUCCUUUUAGCUCUUACCAGCAUUCAUUGUCACUUUAGUCACCACGUGAGGUGCACGCCUGAUGAUGCAUGCAAGACUUAUCCUCUUCCACUCUCCGAUAUAGCUAUGGAAAGGCGAGACCCACGAUGUUCUCUAGUCGUGACAUCGAUCUUGUUGGUUUCCCCCUCCACUAACCUAGCCAAAGGUCGAAGUGUUCAAGUAGGUAUAUGUUCUAUAAUGGAGUCAAUGGUGGCAUUUUUUGGCAGGUUGUUGUCCCUCCAAACCGCUGACGCCAUCCUGCGUGUCAUAGCCUAUGCAAUGAUAUCCUUAUGGGGUACGUUUCUUCCCACAAGUUUGGUUGCUAGUUUUAUUUAUUUUUCUAUGUGUGUGGGUGGGUGGGUGGGUGGGGGGGUAUUGCUACCUUGUCGAUGUGGGUUUCUAAUGUCUGUUACCCGGCCAUUAGAACUUGAAUGUAUCAAUUACUUCUUUUCUUAGCAAGAAAGGGACCUUGCCAAAGGCCAUUCAACAUGUGUUGUUGAUGAUGAUUCUAUCACCUUAUAUGAUUGGAAUUUGAAGGCGUCGGUCACUUCUUUCCCUAAUUUGCAAGGCAAUGUCCUUGCCUAUUGUUCAUGGAUGCGGAGACACAUCCUUAACAUCGUAUGUCCAUCUCGAGUACUUUACUCUGAUCAGCUUCGACAAGGCUAUAUCAUUCAUUCUAGGUUUGAAGGAGGGUGAAAGAGAAGUUUCAAAACCUGCAAGGACUUUGUUUCUUAGUCUCAGUGGGUCUUCCUGUAUCGGGUUGUUUGCGUAAGUUAAAUAGUGCAUUAAUAUUAAUAUCAGUCCAACUCCAACGAAGUUUCCUUUAAGAAAACAAAAUCCUACGCGGGCGCAUGCAGUAAUCGGAUAUACACGUACUUGGAUAGUUGGAUGGCAGUUGGCAAUAAAAGGCGUGCAUGACACGUUCGCUGUGUACAGGCUAAGCCAUCUGUCAUCGCUCUUAACCCCACGUAGCAGCAAUCCAACGCGCCCACCUCCGUCCAUAAAUCCACAAGGCCCCCGGAGUCUCUGCCCAGCGGGCCCGGCAGUCCCACAAGAUCACAGCACAUACGCUUCCUCCAUUCCACUCGGCCGCGACCGCGACCGCGACGGCGAGCGAGGGGCCGAGGUGGGACGCCGCGCCGCUUCUGCAGAAAGAAAAAGGCCAGGUGAGGUGCUCGACGCGGGAGCGGGACCGGAGUAGCGCCAGCGUCCCAUUCCCGGCCAACCUCCCUGUUCAUCUCCAUGCCGACCUGACUCGGUAUGAUAAGAUCCAUGUGAUCCAGAGCCUGAUCCGAACACGAUCCCUUUCUCCCCUUUCCCUGCGUAGUGCGGAGCUCCAGUGAAGGAACCAAACAGCGCAACACACGAACACACCAGGCGGCAGGCUCCACCCCGUCCUUUUCCUGCCUUUUCCCCCCGUCGAGUUAAUCCAUCCAGUCGCCAAAAGCUUUGCUAAAUUUCACGUGUCUCGCCUCGAGUCGUCCCUAAUCCGACGAUGCCUUGUUCUACUCCUAAAAAAACCCAAAUAUCCUGACUUUCUCUUGCUGCUAGCCUCCCUUUUCCCUUCUCCCUUAAUCGCACUGUUGGAAGCUCUUCGCUGUCACCCCCACCCACCUCCGGCGCUCUUUUUUAGCAUUUUCCUUGGGCUCUGGACUCCAAAAUCCCAGCCUUUUGUUUGCUUCUCUGUCUCCUGCUGAUUGGUGUCCCCGGGUCCAGGACUCUUGAUUUGCUCCUCGCGGGGGUUCGGUCCCAUGGCGGCAGCUGCGCUGGCAAUGGCAGAGCAGGUGGUGGCCGAGCUCCGAGUGAGGUGUGAGACGCCGCCGUCGAUGCUGCGCGAGGUGGCCGUGGAGAUGGCCCGCGAGAUGGGCGCGGGGCUGGAGAAGGACGGCGGGAGCAGGGUCAAGAUGCUCCUCUCCUACGUCGAUAAGCUCCCCACAGGGUUCGUGCUUCUGAACCUGUCUUUCUUGCUCUGUUUGUAUGAUGAUCAGAGGAUGAUUUUGCGUCCUGUUGCUUGUUUGGUAGUCCUAACAAUAACAGGAUGGUGUAAAGACCUCGUUCAGGAAACAGUAUUUUGUAGAAAGUCGUGAUGUGUUCCUUCCAUGCUCGGCAUCACUAUUAUUGAGAGGAUAUAGCAUAUCAACAUGUUUCUGUUUUUUUAUUCUUUUUGGUAAUAAUUUAUAUGACUGGAUUUGAGAACGAUGUAUCUAUGGAAUGAAUUUGGCCAUCAUAUGCAAUAGAUUCUACGUCUGAAUCUGAUAGCAUAAAAGGACUAUCCAACUGUACAGUGAUUUAUGUGAGCUUCAAGCUACCUGAUGCAUAUAGACAUAAUCUAAGGAUAAUUGUUGUAAAGAGGCAGGCAAAUCCAUCUGCCUUGAGCACACCGUUACAGUAUUUUACUUGUACCACUGACUUCAGGAGAGAGGAAGGAUUAUUCUAUGGAUUGGACCUAGGAGGAACGAAUUUCCGCGUCUUGAAAGUGCAACUAGGUGGGAAUGCGAAGCAUGUCGUUGACCGUGACUCCAGAGAAGUCGGCAUUCCGCCACAUCUGAUGUCAGGGAGCUCCUCGGUAAGUAUAGCCGUCAAGAAUUCAGUUAAUGCGGUUUGUUUUUAAUCUGACAGUAUGCUUUUACAACAUCCUAGGAGCUUUUUGGUUUCAUUGCUUCUGAAUUGGCCAAGUUUGUUGACGAUGAUGAGAAGUGCGCUAACAUUUCGAAUGGCAAGAAGCGAGAAAUAGGGUUCACGUUUUCGUUCCCAGUGAAGCAGCGUUCUGUAGCUUCCGGUACGCUUGUCAAGUGGACAAAGGCAUUUUCCAUUAAUGAUGCUGUAAGUCUUGAUGUGCCCAUAUGCCAAACUUGUCUGUGUUCAACGUGAAAGGUUUUGUUAACUGAAGCUUCUCGAAGAUCUUGUAUUGCUACCCCAUUUAUGAUCAUAGUGAUCUUUAUCCUGAAGCUAUUUUUAGUAACAAUGUUUUAUUGGAUCAAGUGUACGCACUGAAAUGGUUUCUUAUUGAAAACGCUCCGUUAAAUUGAUGUUUGUAUGGAAUCAGGUAGGCGAAGAUGUGGUGGCUGAACUGCAAACAGCCAUGGAGAAGCAAGGUCUGGACAUGCAUGUAGCUGCAUUGGUGAGUGUUGUCAACAUAUUUUUUUUUAUACUCCAUCAGUCUUGGAUAAGCAACUUGUGGUUUCAGCAGACCUUGUGAUGAAACAGAUUAAUGAUGCUGUUGGGACGCUGGCGGGAGCAAGGUACUAUGACAAAGAUGUUGUCGCUGGUGUAAUAUUUGGCACUGGCACAAACGCAGCAUAUGUUGAGAAGGCAAAUGCUAUUCCAAAAUGGGAGGGUGAGCUGCCCCAUUCAGGAGACAUGGUAAGAUUCGAGCCUUGGAGACCACAUUGUUUUUUACUAAAUCUAGCAGUACUCAGAGAAUGAUUGCAGGUUGGGCUGUGCUAAUUUUUAUUUAGAAAAAAAACGAUUUUGCUGUACUUCAGGUCAUCAACAUGGAAUGGGGUAACUUCUUCUCAUCUCAUCUCCCCAUCACUGAAUAUGAUCAAGAAUUAGAUAAGGAGAGCUUAAAUCCAGGAGAACAGGCAAGUUUGUGUAUAGAAGAUACAUGCUGCUGUUCAUACUGUUGGUUUCUCAUGUUGUUGUCUCGCUAUCGACUUCUUUCAGAUUUACGAGAAGUUAACGUCAGGAAUGUAUUUAGGUGAAAUUGUAAGGAGGGUGCUCCUUAAAAUAUCAUUGCAGUCCGCCAUUUUUGGUGAUAUUGACCACACUAAGCUUCAAACCCAUUUCCUUCUGCGGUAUGUGUCAGCUUGGCUUUUUUUGUAGCUGCACUCUUUAUGUUAAAAUCUGGAACAAGGUUGCGAAGCAUUGGCUUCAAAAUUUAAAUUACAUGCUUAUGUAGGCCGUUCAUCAUGUUUUAUGAUUUAAUUGAACAGAUCAUUGUGGAGUGUAGCAACAAAAAAUGUCAAAUUCAAUUCAAGCUUGGCUUGUGCUAAUAAAUCUAGGUCUAUGUGGUUCACAGGACUCCACAUAUUUCAGCAAUGCACCAUGACGAAACAUCUGAUCUGAAGAUUGUGGCCGAAAAUUUUGAAGAAAACCUAGAGGUACGUCGGCAUUGUGACCAUGUGCUUUGUCAUGUCAUACAGAGGUAUACCUGAGCUGGUUUGAUGAUGUCUACUGCAGAUUACAGGCACAUCCUUGGAGGCUCGUAAGCUGGUCGUUGAAAUCUGUGACAUUGUGGCGACAAGAGCAGCCCGGCUGGCUGCUGCGGGGCUUGCAGGGAUCCUCAUGAAGAUCGGGAGAGAUCACAGCGUCGAGGACCAACGGUCAGUCAUCGCCAUCGACGGAGGACUGUUCGAGCACUACACCAAAUUCCGCCGGUGCUUGGAGACCACACUGGGUGAGCUGCUAGGAGACGAGGCGUCCAAGGCGGUGGCCAUCAAGCAUGCCGACGACGGUUCAGGAAUAGGUGCUGCCCUGAUUGCAGCUUCACAGUCUCAGUACAAAAACGACUUAGUGGCCGUCAAGCAUGCAGAUGACGGUUCAGGAGUCAAGUAUGCAGAAGACAAGCGUGCAGAUGACGGAUCAGAAAUAGGUGCUGCCCUGAUUGCUGCCUCGCAAUCUCAGUAGAGAGAUGUCCGAGUGGUAUAGAGGUAGCAAGUAGCUAUGAUUUGUUUCCAACGUCUUAACUGUCCAGCGUCUGCAGUUUAGCAUGCUAGAGCUGGAUGCGAUCUGUAACCAAAACCAGGCUUGGCCAACUGGCUGUUCAUAAUUCCAAUAACAGCAGGGUUGCAGAUGUCUCCUAACCCCCUACGAUCUUAAAAACUUUUGAAUGUUUAACCAUCAGAGCUUCUUCUAUGCACUGAACCAUCGGCUGUUAGACUUGUGAACAAGGUAGUUUCUAUGUCAUCUUUCUCAUCCUUACCAAAGCUCCACAAACGAGGCCGUGUAAGAGCUAAUACGAUGGUGAGGAAGAGGAUUUGGAAACGGAUUUUGCACAGCGGUCACAGAUACAGAAAGAUCAAUGGAGUUAUCUUCGUUGACAACACCUCUGCGAACGUAAGUGUCCCUGGGCAAAUCUUUAUCCGUUGGAGCUGACGCGACUACACGAGCCCUUGGAUCUGGCAACUGGUGGUUCCAAAAGCUUCGGGGGCAGUCUCAGGCAUCCCCAAGUCCCCCCCUGUAUAUCUUUGCAUUUACACGCUACGGCUGGAUAUUGGCAAUUGCAUAGCGUUGUGCAUGUUCAUAGCUCUAGCAAGGGAACUGUGUCCAUUCAUGAUUAACGACCGGAAUACUUCAAUGUUGCUGUAAUCUUGUAGUGCGUCAGCAGUACUUGCAUUAGUUGCACGUAGAUGCAUUAGUCUAUCGCGUGUGUUACUGCAUGGCAUAUUUGUUUUAGUGUAGAUCACGGCGAGCUGGAGACUGCAUGGCAUAUUUGUUUUAGCGUAGAUCACGGCGAGCUGGAGACUGCACAGUCUGCGUCGUGACCGCGUCGUUCGGGUAUUCGCCGCCACCACCUGUACCGCUGUACGCCGUGCAUGUCGCACGGGCCACCGAAAGAUGAGGGGCUUCGUGCAGCUACGGGGAGUGGCGGGGAAGUCGGAUCACUCCGUGUAAUAAGACUAUGUUAAUGCAUCAGAAAACGGCGCGCGAGUUGCAACCCAAAAACACCUCUGUCUCAGCGUUCGUCCGUCGGCUCUGGUGAUCGCGCUCUGUCGUCGCGCUGCCACAGUUCGUGCUCAUCGCUGGCCACCGUGUUUCGGUUCCAACAUUCCGGUAUCAGAGCCGUGGUUGUAUGCACUACGACAGGUCGGUAUCUCCUCCACAAGAACCGGCGAAGAAGAAGUGCGUCCUCACUCGACGACAACUGUCGAACACCAUGACUUCAACGUCGACCACCGGCAGCGGCGUGAAGGAGAGCUCACUAAUGUGGCCACUUCUCGGCCACGAUAACUACUCCGAGUGGGCGAUGUUGAUGCAGUGCAACCUUGAAGCGAUGGAGAUCUGGGAUGUGAUUGAUCCCGGGAUCAAUCCCAAGCGAGCGCACGAUCGCCAAGCCAUGAGCGCGCUCCUGCGCUCGGUGCCGAAGGAGAUGUGACAGUCGCUCGGCGCCCGGGCGACAGUGAAGGAGGCGUGGGAGGCGGUGAAGUUAAUGAGGCUCGGCGCCGAUCGGGUGAAGGAGGUGAACGCCCAGAAGAUGCUCCAAGAGUUCGAGAACAUCAAGUUCAAGGACGGAGAAUCGGUCGAAGUUUUCAGGAUGCGAAUCACCAACCUCGUCGGCAACCUUCGAGCACUUGGCGAGGUCAUGGAAGAUAUCCGCGUCGUCAAGAAGUUCCUGCGGGUGGUUCCGGCGCGCUUCACCCAGGUAGUUGUCACGAUUGAAAUGUUCUGUGAUCUCAAGCAACUCUCGGUGGACGAACUGGUGGGGCGUCUGCGUGCGGCCGAGGAUCGAUUCGACGACAAGGUCGAACACCUCGUUGAUAAGGCAGGACGGCUCCUUCUCACCGAGGAGGACUGGCUUGAGAAGAACAAACACCGUCUGCGUUCAGGCUACAAGGACGGUGGUGGUGACUCUGACGCUGGCUCCUCGAAAGGCAAGUCGCCGGCACACCACGACGGGAAUGCCUCUGGACCGGUCAAGCUGACCUCCCAGGGCACUCUGCGGCGUAAAGGACGGUGCCGCAACCGUGGGAUCUACGGUCACUGGGUUGAGGACUACAAACGCCCAAAGAGGGGGAAGAAGGAGACACCGACGCCUGAGGCAAAUGUGGCGAUCGGUGGAACUGAACACAAUGGCGCACUGAUGCUGGCCACUUGUGACAUUGUGCACGAUGUGGUUCAGCAUGUUCAUCUGACAGAGAAGACUAUACCAAUUUCAGUUCCUGAAGGUAUGUGGGUCCUUGACACUGGAGCAAGUAAUCACAUGACAGGUACACGGUCGUCGUUGACACAGCUUGACCAAGGUGUUCGGGGAACAGUUUGGUUUGGAGAUGGGUCUGUCGUCAGAAUACAAGGUAUGGGUUCGGUUAUUAUGCAAGGCAGUGGUAAUGGGCACAAGGUGUUAACUGAUGUUUACUACAUUCCUGAACUAAGAACCAACAUAGUCAGUUUGGGUCAAUUAGAAGAAAAAGGCUUUAAGUUUGGAGGUGGAAAUGGAAAAUUAUGUGUGUAUGAUCAAGAACAUAUGCUGUUAAUAGCUGCACCUAGAACUGCAAAUAGGCUCUACACCAUCAAAUUUGGUCUGUCAGCACCUGUGUGUUUGCUGUUAAAUACCAAACACAAGUCAUGGCAGUGGCAUGCUAGAUUUGGUCACCUAAAUUUCAGAGCCCUACAUGAUCUUAGUAGCAAAAACAUGGUUGAUGGCAUGCAAACUGUGAAAAAGGCUGAGCAAGUAUGUGAUGGUUGUGUUCUUGGGAAACAGCAUAGGAAACCUUUUCCAACUGUGUCAAGUUUCAGAGCUGAGAAAGGGUUAGAACUAGUUCAUGCAGAUUUGUGUGGUCAGAUUACUCCUAAAAGUAUAGGUGGUGCCUCAUAUUUUCUUUUAGUAGUAGAUGACCAUAGUAGAUAUAUGUGGGUUGAGAUGCUUAAUACUAAGGAUCAAGCACUAGACUGUUUCAAAAAAGUCAAGCAAAGGGCAGAAGUUGAACUGGGUGGUAGUCUGAAGGCAUUGAGAACAGACAGAGGGGGAGAAUUCACAUCAAACCUGUUUUUAGUGUUCUGCAGUCAGUUUGGAAUCAAACACUACACCACAACUCCAUAUUCCCCUAAGAAAAAUGGGGUUGUUGAGAGGAGGAACCAGUCUGUGGUUGAAAUGGCCAGGUGCCUGCUGAAAUCGAUGAGAGUUCCAUCAAUAUUUUGGGGUGAGGCAGUGAGAACUGCAGUGUAUCUCCUCAACAGAUCACCCACAAAAGCUCUGAAAAAAAAGACUCCUUAUGAAGCUUGGCAUGGAAAAAAGCCCAAAGUGAGUCACCUGAGAAUCUUUGGUUGUGUAGCACAUGUGAAGCGUGUUGGUCCUGGAAUAAAUAAGCUUGCUGACAGAUCCAGCAAAAUGGUAUUUAUUGGCUAUGAGUCAGGAACUAAAGCAUACAGGUUCUUUGAUCCAGCUACAAAUAAGCUGGUAGUUAGUAGAGAUGUGGUAUUUGAAGAAGGGAAACCUUGGGACUGGGACAGUUCAAAGUGCAGCACAGAUCAACAGGAGAAUGACACUUUUAUUGUUCACUAUGAUCUAACUGACCAAAACAUGGCAACAGCUGGGGAUGAUAGUAACCCAACACUGUCAGACCAAAGUACAGGAGGAGAAAAUUCAGUUGGCCGAAGCAGUGGAACAGGACAAGCUAAUGAACCUGCUUCUCCAUACACUCCAAUAUCAAGUAUGAUGCAAAAUCAAGGGAUGGGAACUCCAUCUGUUCAACAAUCAGAGAGCUCAGGGUCAGGACCAAACAGGUUCAGAACAUUGACUGAUUUGUUUGAUGCAACUGAACAAGUGCAUGACUUUUAAAAGAGAAAUAGGCUCAAACCUUUUCCUAUAUAAUUUUGGUGGUUGAAUUGCCCAACACAAAUAAUUAGACUAACUAGUUUGCUCUAGAAUAUAUGUUCUACAGGUGCCAAAGGUUCACAACAAACCAAUACAAAGUUAAAAGAAAGGGUUCAAAAAGAAAUGAGCAAAAUAAACCGAAGCCUGCCCUGGUCUGGCGCACCGGACUGUCCGGUGUGUCACCGGACAGUGUCCGGUGCACCAGGGAGAAUCACUCUGAACUGCUCAGCUUCGGGUUUCUAGAAAAUGCUCUCCGCUAUAAUUCACCGGACUGUCUGGUGUGCCAGCGGGAGCAACGGCUACAGCGCAACGGUCGAGUUCAACGAUCGCUGAUAACGCUAUAGUGCGCGGACUGCGCGCUCAGAAGUCAGAGCAGGCGCAGAAGGCGCACCGGACAGUGAACAGGACCUGUCCGGUGCACCACCGGACUGUCCGGUGGCCCAGCUGUCAGAAGCUCCAACGGUCAAACCCUAACGGUUGGGUGACGUGGCUGGCGCACCGGACAGUGUCCGGUGGCGCACCGGACUGUUCGGUGUGCCCGUCAACAGACAGCCUCCCCAACGGCCAUUUUGGUGGGUGGGGCUAUAAAUACCCCCAACCACCACACUUCAAGGCAUCCAAGUUUUCAGCCAACACAUUCAAUACAAGAGCUAGUGCAUUCAAUACAAGACACAAAUAGAUUGAAUCAAAGCCUCUCUAAGUCCCAAAUUCCACUCAAAGCAAUUAGUGACUAGAGAGAGUUUUGCUCGUGUCUUUGAGCUCUUGCGCUUAGAUCGCUUUUCUUCUUCCUCUUUCUUGUUCUCAAGCAACUUGUAAUCAACGCAAGAGACACCAAGUUGUGGUGGUCCUUGUGAGGGGUCUAAGUGACCCGUUGAUUAAGGAGAAAAGCUCACUCGGUUUAGGUGACCGUUUGAGAGAGGGAAAAGGUUGAAAGAGACCCGGUCUUUGUGACCACCUCAACGGGGAGUAGGUUUGCAAGAACCGAACCUCGGUAAAACAAAUCACCGUGUCACACUCUUCAUUUGCUUGUGAUUUGUUUUCACCCUCUCCUUCGGACUCGAUUUUAUUUCUAACGCUAACCCCAACUUGUAGUGUGUGCUUAAGUUUAUAAUUUUCAGAUUUCGCCUAUUCACCCCCCCUCUAGGCGACUUUCAAUUGGUACCAGAGUCUGGUACUUCAUUAGAGCCUAACCGCUCAAAGUGAUGUCGGGAGAUCACGCCAAGAAGGAGGUCGUGACCGGCGAGAAGCCCGCCGCAAGCCACGGGAAGGCUCCAUCAAGGGAGUCCGGCUCCAAAGGAAAGGGAGAAUCACCUCCCCGCGUCAAGUCGCACCGGAGUGGUGACAAGAAGAAAAUGAAGAAGGUGGUCUACUACGAGACCGAUUCUUCGUCGCCCUCCACCUCCGGCUCCGACGCACCGUCCGUUACUUCUAAGCGCCAUGAGCGCAAGAAGUUUAGUAAGACCCCCCUACACUACCCUCGCAUUUCCAAACAUACUCCAUUACUUUUCGUCCCAUUAGACAAACCACCGGUUUUUUACGGUGAAGAUUAUUGUAUGUGGAGAGAUAAAAUGAGGCAUCACCUAACCUCACUCCACACUAGUAUUUGGGAUGUUGUUGAGUUUGGAGUACAAGUACCAUCCGUAGGGGAUGAAGAUUAUGAUUCGGACGAGGUUGCCCAAAUACGGCACUUCAACUCCCAAGCCACUACUAUACUCCUCGCCUCUCUAAGUCGAGAGGAGUAUAAUAAGGUGCGAGGGUUGAAGAGUGCCAAAGAGAUUUGAGACGUGCUCAAGACCGCGCACGAAGGGGAUGAGGUGACAAAGAUCACCAAGCGGGAAACGGUCAAGGGGAGCUCGGUCGUUUUAUGCUCAACCAAGGAGAGGAGCCACAAGCCAUGUACAACCGGCUCAAGACCUUGGUGAAUCAAGUGUGCAACCUUGGGAGCACAAAAUGGGAUGACCAUGAGAUGGUCAAGGUUAUUCUAAGAUCACUUGUUUUUCUUAAUCCUACACAAGUUCAAUUAAUUCGUGGUGAUCCUAGAUACAAACUAAUGUCUCCCGAGGAGGUUAUAGAAAAGUUUGUGAGCUUUGAAUUGAUGAUCAAAGGCUCCAAACAAAUCAUCGAGCGAGGCGCCACCUCAACACCCGAGGUGCAACCCGUUGCCUUCAAGGCGACGGAGGAGAAGAAAGAUGAGUCUACAUCAAGUAGGCUCUCCAUCGACGCCUCCAAGAUCGACAACGAGGAGAUGGCGCUCAUCAUCAAGAGCUUCCGUCAAAUCCUCAAGCAACGGAAGGGGAAAGACUACAAGCCCCGUUCCAAGAAAGUUUGCUACAAGUGUGGUAAGCCCGGUCACUUUAUAGCAAAAUGUCCUAUUUCUAGUGACAGGGGCGACGACAAGAGGGGGAAGAAGGAGAAGAAGAGAUACUACAAGAAGAAGGGCGGCGAUGCCCAUGUAUGCCGGGAGUGGGACUCCGAUGAGAGCUCCACCGACUCCUCCGACGAGGACACCGCCAACAUCGUUGUCAACAAAGGCCUCCUCUUCCCCAACGUCGGCCACAAGUGCCUCAUGGCAAAUGACGGCAAAAAGAAGGUAAAAUCUAGAGCCUCCACUAAAUAUGCAACAUCUAGUGAUGAGGAUAACUCUAGUGAUGAUGAAGAAAAUUUGGUUGCUCUUUUUUCCAACCUAAACAUGCAACAAAAGGAAAAAUUGAAUGAAUUAAUCAGUGCUAUUCAUGAGAAGGAUGAACUCUUGGAUAGCCAAGAGGACAUCCUUAUUAAGGAAAACAAGAAGCAUGUUAAGGUUAAAAAUGCUUAUGCUCAGGAAGUAGAGAAAUGUGAAAAAUUGACUAGUGAGCUAAGCACUUGUCAUGACACCAUCUCCAACCUUAGAAAUGAGAAUGUUAAAUUAAUUACUAAGGUUGAUAAGUUAGAUGUUUGUGAUGAUUCACCUGUCAAACUUAAAAAUGAUAAUGCUAAUUUGAUUGCUAAAAUUGACAAGUUGAAUAAAUCACUCUCUAGCCUUAAAAUUGAGAAUGAAAAAUUAAUUGCUAAGGCUAAAGAUUUAAAAGUUUGCAAUGAUGUUAUUUCCAAUCUUAGAUAUGAAAAUGUCAUGUUACAUGCUAAGAUUGAUGAUUUAAAUGUUUGCAAACCCUCUACUUCUAGUGUUGAUCAUGUUUCUAUUUGUACUAGAUGUAGAGAUAUUAAUGUUGAUGCUAUUCAUGAUCACCUAGCUUUAAUUAAACAACAAAAUGAUCACAUAGCUCAACUUAGUGCUAAAAUUAAUGAGCAUGCCUUAGAAAAUGAAAAAUUUAAAUUUGCUAGAAGCAUGCUCUAUAGUGGGAGACACCCAGGCAUUAAGGAUGGUAUUGGCUUCCAAUAGGGAGGCAAUGUUAAAAUUAAUGCCUCUAAGAGAUUGUCUAACUUUGUUAAGGGCAAGGCUCCCAUGCCUCAGGAUAACGAGGGCUAUAUUUUAUAUCCUGCUGGUUAUCCUGAGAAUAAGAUUAGGAGAAUUCAUGCUAAGAAGACUCAUUCUGUUUCUCACCAUACUUUUAUUUAUAAGAAUGAGGCUUUUAGCUCUAGCCGUUCUACCCAUGUUAAAAUGCCUAAGAAGAAAUAUCCUAUUGCAUCAAAUGAUCAUAACAUUUCAUUUAAGACUUUUGAUGCUUCUUAUGUGCUUACUAACAAAUCAGGCAAAGUAGUUGCCAAAUAUGUUGGGGGCAAACACAAGGGGUCAAAGACUUGUGUUUGGGUACCCAAGGUGCCUGUUUCUAAUGUCAAAGGAUCCAAGACCGUUUGGGUACCUAAGAACAAGGCCUAAACUUGUUUUGUAGGUUUAUGCAUCCGGGGGCUCAAGUUGGAUCAUCGAUAGCGGGUGCACAAACCACAUGACUGGAGAGAAAAGAAUGUUCUCCUCCUAUGAGAAAAACUAAGAUCCCCAAAGAGCUAUCACAUUCGGGGAUGGAAAUCAAGGUUUGGUCAAACUCAAUUUCAUUUCUAACGCUAACCCUGGCUUGUAGUGUGUGCUUAAGUUUAUAAUUUUCAGAUUCCGCCUAUUCACUCCCCCUCUAGGCGACUUUCAACUUUGAGUACAGUGGAGUGUGCAUGCUGGCAGCCGAUGAACCUGCAUGUGUGGAGCAGGCUCUUUCACAGGACUGCUGGAAAAGAGCUAUGGAGGUUGAACUGAAGUCAAUUCAAGAAAGUCAGACCUGGGAGAUUGCUGAUCUGCCAAGGGAUCACAAGGCUAUAGGACUCAAAUGGGUUUUCAAAGUAAAGAGGGAUCCAACUGGGAAUAUUGUUAAGCACAAGGCUAGAUUGGUAGCUAAAGGAUAUGCUCAAAUCCAGGGGGUGGAUUAUGAUGAGGUUUUUGCCCCUGUGGCAAGGCUAGAGACAGUGAGAAUACUGUUGGCCAUAGCAGCCGAAGGGGAGUGGGAAGUGCAUCACAUGGAUGUGAAGUCUGCAUUCCUGAAUGGAGAUCUCAGAGAAGAAGUUUAUGUACUUCAACCACUAGGCUUUGUGUGUCCUGCAGCCAAAAGAAAGGUGUUAAAACUGAAGAAGGCCUUGUAUGGAUUGAAACAGGCUCCUCAAGCCUGGAAUGCAAAACUUGAUGAGGAGUUGACAAGGCUGGGUUUCAGAAGGAGUGUGGAGGAACAUACUGUUUACAAACGAGGAACAGGUGUAACCUUACUUCUAGUUGGUGUCUAUGUUGAUGAUCUCAUCAUUUGUGGGCCAAACAGCAAUGAGAUAGCUAUCUUCAAGCAACAGAUGAUGAAAAGGUUCAAUAUGUGUGAUCUAGGCCUAUUGAGUUACUACCUAGGCAUACAAGUAAAGCAGAAACCAGGGGAGAUCACUAUCUGUCAGAGUGCAUAUGCUGAAAAGAUACUGGAGAAUUGUGGUAUGCAGGGUUGUAAUCCUGUGGAUACACCAAUGGAGCAGCACCUAAAAUUGUUACCUGGGAAGCCUGAGCUGAUUUUGGAUGCAACAAAAUACAGAAGUCUUGUUGGUAGUUUGAGGUACUUGGUUAACACAAGACCUGAUCUUGCCUUCUCAGUAGGAAUGGUGAGUAGAUUUAUGGAAACACCAAAUGCUGAGCACUGGACAGCCAUCAAGCGAAUUAUCAGGUUUGUUGCAGGAACCAUCCAAUAUGGCUGCAAAUAUUCAAAGGGAGCAAAUGCAGUAUUAGUUGGCUACUCAUACAGUGACCAUGCAGGUGAUCUUGAGAGAAGAAAGAGCACAAGUGGGAUUGUAUUUUUCUUGGGCAACAAUGUCAUCACGUGGUGUUCACAGAAGCAAAGAGUGGUGUCACUGUCAUCUUGCGAAUCUGAAUAUAUAGCAGCAGCUUCAGCAGCCUGUCAGGGGGUGUGGUUGAGCAGGCUAUUGGGGGACCUUAUGUGCACUGAUGUGAAGCAUUUUUGUCUCCUCAUUGACAAUAAAUCGGCUCAAGAACUAAGCAAGAAUCUAGUCUAUCACGAAAGAAGCAAGCACAUAGAUACCAGGUAUCAUUACAUCAGAGAAUGUGUGGGAAAUGGUGUUCUGGAUGUGAAGCAUGUCAGCUCUGAAAAUCAGUUAGCAGAUAUACUUACGAAGCCUCUUGGCAGAAUCUGGUUCACUGAAUUGAGAAGACUGAUCGGGGUGGUCAAGAUUGGAGAGUGACAAGAUUAAGGGGGAGAAAUGUUGUUGUAAUCUUGUAGUGCGUCAACAGUACUUGCAUUAGUUGCACGUAGAUGCAUUAGUCUAUCGCGUGUGUUACUGCAUGGCAUAUUUGUUUUAGCGUAGAUCACGGCGAGCUGGAGACUGCACAGUCUGCGUCGUGACCGCGUCGUUUGGGUAUUCGCCGCCACCACCUGUACGCCGUGCAUGUCGCACGGGCCACCGAAAGAUGAGGGGCUUCGUGCAGCUGCGGGGAGUGGCGGGGAAGUCGGAUCACUCCGUGUAAUAAGACUAUGUUAAUGCAUCAGAAAUCGGUGCGCGAGUUGCAACCCAAAAACACCUCUGUCUCAACGUUCGUCCGUCGGCUCUGGUGAUCGCGCUCUGUCGUCGCGCUGCCACAGUUCGUGCUCAUCGCCGGCCGCCGUGUUUCGGUUCCAACAUUCAGAAACCCCCUGUUGCAGGCUUCAGGAACUAUGUCCAUUCAUAAUCAACUGCAACUAUGCAGCAAGGGUACCGAAACAGGUUCCAGCGAUGGUUCUUGUUUCUCUUAUCCAAGUGCCCAGAUUCAAACCACUAUGAUGCGACAGCACAUGCCUGUCAAACAAGAUGUAACGACAACGCAAUGGGCACAAAUCCUGCUACUCCGCUGUUCUUUAUACCUAAAAAACCAACAAAAACGAAGACGCCAAGAGGGUGCUACCUUUCUGAGUGUAUCUAGGAAGUCUAAAUCCUCGAGAGCACGAACAAAAGCAACCGAAGAAAACCAGCGCUGGCCCGUGUCCCCUGUUCCGCCACGCUGUUGAACAAAGCGCGGAACAGCACACAACACAGCAAGGCAAGGGAGGAAAGACCUACCCUGCCCGCCCCCCGCCGCCGCCGAUCAAGAGAAAACCGCAAAAACGAAGGAAGCGAGAUCACGGACCUUGAACGGAACCAGAUCCGCUGAACAAUGAAGCAGAGCACGAGCACGGUUUGGGGAAGAGGAAAGAACGGGGGCCGUGCAAUCGAGCGCGGAAAUUCGUGCAUGCACCAUGGGCCGCUCCCGUCUUGUACGGUUAGUUGGGCCCUUUAAACGGGCGAUGGGCGAGUUCGAUGCAGGAAACUGGCCCAUAGUCUGGCAUACAACGAUCAGUCGAUCAGGAUUUAGGAAGCAGAUGUUGAUGGGAUGAAAACGAAAAUGAAAUUUUUUUUUGUUACGAGAAAUUGUUUUCUAAAUUUUAUUAAAAUUUCGGUCUAAAUAAAAACAAAACCAAUUAUAGAAAAUAAGAAAGCUGAAAUUGUUUGAGUCUCUCCCUUUUGUUUUCGAAAAUUACUGUUGGAAGCCAAAAAAGGCUGUGCGGACGGUCCGGCCCUGAGGCCGGACGGUCCGCGGUUCGGACUGUCCGCAGUGGUGACGCGGACGGUCCGCGCGUGCGUAGAGUCAGUUAGGGUUCCUAGUUUCUCGCAGGAUUUGUUACCUAAAACCGUGGGAUUGACUCGAAAAUCAGUUCGAAGCGGAUCCAGACCUCCCCUUUAUAUAGAUGAAGGGCUACGGCCGAUUAAACCCCCCAACAAUCGAUCAAAUCAAGUCUAUUACUUGUUUUUACCUUAUGCAUUGGGAGUAGUUCUAGUCUAGCCCUAGUUUAGUAUUCCAAUCCCCAAAUUCUUCGCUUCUCUUCGACUCUACGUCGAUUAGAGGAGUCUAGGUCGGCCUGCCGAGCCUAGACAACCCCUAAAAUCUCUCCUCCCCGACGGGGUCCCUCCUGGGAGCGAGAUCCAGGCGCCGCCGACGACCUUUCGUCGCCCCUACGCACGCGCGGACCGUCCAGCCCCAGGGCGCGGACCGUCCGGCCGUCAGGCAGGGAACUCUAGCCCGCGCCAGGUCGCGGACCAUCCGGCCCCUGGCCGCGGACCGUCCGCGCCUGUGCAGAGAGCACCGCCGCCGGUUCUUGUUGAGUGUUUGGCGCCCGAAAAAGGUGUCAACAUACUUUUUGGCGACUCCGCUAGGGACUAGGUGUCUAGACGUGCUAAAAAUCGGCCUAUAGAUGGCCGGUUCUAAGGAUCACACCAAGAUCUCCACCACCAACAUCAUCAAGCCAGCCAUAGAGGCGCUCCCGGCUGAUGACCAAAGACCCUUUGAAGACCUCAUAAUACGCGAUGAGAAGGAGGUGAUGCGGCAAUGGAACGAACAACGCGACAAGGAAGAGGCGGAACAACUGCAUAAACUCUCCGAACGACGCAAGGAGGCGGCAGAAAAGUACUUGUCACACUUCACGGUGGAUCUGAAAGGGAAAUGUGCCCUUGGGCCAUUUCUAAGUAUUUUGGUGAUUGAGUGCAAACACAAGUGCAUAAAUGUGAAAAUAUGCCCAAGGAUGAACAAAGUGCAAAUCACAAGUUAAGGUAUGUUUCUAAGCCUUAGUACAUUGGUUUUGUGUACUAAUAUAUUUGUCUAAGUGUUAGAAACAGAUAGAAGAAGAGAAGAGAAGACUUGGCUGUGUACAGCCAAGGGGCUGCUUCGGUCUGGGGCACCGGACUGUCCGGUGGUGCACCGGACAGUGUCCUGUGGUGCACCGGACAGUGUCCGGUGCGCCAGGCUGCCUCGGCCGAAGAGGCCGCUCUCGGGUUAUUCUCCGGCGACUUCGGCUAAAAUUCACCAGACUGUCCGGUGUGCACCGGACUGUCCGGUGAGCCAACGGUCGGCCGGGCCAACGGUCGGCCGCGCGAUCGGCGCGCGACACGUGGCCGAGCCAACGGUCGGAAGGAAGCACCGGACUGUCCGGUGUGCACCGGACUGUCCGGUGUGCACCGGACUGUCCGGUGUGCACCGGACUGUCCGGUGCGCCAGAUCUGCAACGAUCGGCAACGGUCGGCUUCGCCAUUUAAGGAAACAAAUCGGGCACCGGACAGUGUCCGGUGUGCACCGGACUGUCCGGUGCGCCCGACGACAGAAGGCAAGGAUAGCCUUCCAGAUGUGUUCUCAACGGCUCCUAGCUGACUUGGGGCUAUAAAAGGGACCCCUAGGCGCAUGGAGGAGGAUACCAAGCAUUCCUACAACUCUUCUAAGCACCAAGACAUCAAUCUCACGCAUUCGUUUCAUUGUGAUAGCAUAUAGAGCUCUUGUGGAGUUGUGAACUCUUUGUGUUGCGUUGCGAGCUCUUGUUGCGACUUGUGUGCGUGGUGUUGCUCUGAUUUUCGAGUCUUGUGUGCGUUGCUCAUUCCCACCUUACUCCGUAUUUCUUUGUGAACUCAAUUGUAAGGGCGAGAGACUCCAAGUUGUGGAGAUUCCUCGCAAACGGGAAAAGAUCAAAGGAAAGAAAAACACCGUGGUAUUCAAGUUGAUCAUUGGAUCACUUGAGAGGAGUUGAGUGCAACUCUCGUCUGUUGGGACGCCACAACGUGGAGUAGGCAAGUUUUGUACUUGGCCGAACCACGGGAUAACCACCGUGUCAACUCUGUGAUUGCUUUCUUGUGGUUAUCGUGUUUUGAGUUCUCUCUAGCCACUUGGCCAUACUUGUACUAACCAUUAACAAGUUUUUGUGGCUUAAGUUUAAGUUUUUACAGGAUCACCUAUUCACCCCCCCCCCCUCUAGGUGCUCUCAAUUGGUAUCAGAGCCAUUCUCUUCAAGAAAGGGACUAACCGCCCGAGGAGAUGGAUCCUAAGGGGAAGGGAAUUGUGAUCAACGACAAGGAGAAGGAGUCCUUCGUCAACGAGCCAAGGGAUGACAAGUCAAAUGACUCGGGCUCGGGCCACAAGCGAAGAGAUGGGAAGAAGAAGAAGACAAGACGCAUCAAGGAGAUCGUCUACUACGACAGCGAUGAGUCCUCUUCUUCCCAAAAGGACGACGACCACGACAAACAAAGGAAACCGGUUAAUUCUAACUUUUCUUUUGACUACUCUCGUAUUCCGCAAAGUUCAAAUUCACAUUUGCUUUCUAUUCCACUCGGCAAGCCCCCACACUUUGAUGGGGAGGACUACGGAUUUUGGAGCCACAAAAUGCGUAGUCACCUAUUCUCUCUCCAUCCUAGCAUAUGGGAGAUUGUAGAUAGUGGAAUGCACUUUAAUAGUUCGGAUAGUCCUAUAUUCAUUAAUGAGCAAAUCCAUAAGAAUGCACAAGCUACUACUGUUCUUCUAGCCUCAUUGUGCAGGGAUGAAUAUAAUAAAGUGAGUGGCUUGGAUAACGCCAAGCAAAUCUGGGAUACCCUCAAGAUCUCUCAUGAGGGAAAUGACGCUACCUUGCUCACCAAAAUGGAGUUGGUGGAGGGCGAGCUUGGACGGUUCGCGAUGAUAAGGGGCGAGGAGCCAACUCAAACAUACAACCGGCUCAAGACCCUUGUCAACAAGAUAAGGAGCUAUGGAAGCACGCGAUGGACGGACCACGACGUCGUCCGCCUAAUGCUAAGGUCCUUUACUGUUCUUGAUCCUCAUUUGGUGAAUAAUAUUCGUGAGAAUCCCAGGUACACCAAAAUGUCGCCCGAAGAAAUUCUUGGAAAAUUUGUAAGCGGGCGGAUGAUGAUCAAGGAGGCAAGGUACGUCGAUGACGCGUUGAACGGUCCAAUCCACGAGCCUCAACCCAUUGCUCUCAAGGCAUCGAGGAGCAAGGAGGCACUACCAAGCAAGGUGGCGCAAAUUGAGGCGGCCGGGCUUAAUGAUGAAGAAAUGACUCUCAUCAUUAAGCGCUUCAAGACGGUGCUAAAGGGUCGCAAUGGACAGCCGAGCAAGACUAAGACCAAGGGGAAGCGAUCAUGCUUCAAAUGCGGUAAGCUUGGUCAUUUUAUUGCUAACUGUCCUGAUAAUGAAAGUGACCAGGAAAAGGGAAACAAGAGGGAAAAGAAGAAGCAUUAUAAGAAGGCAAAAGGCGAGGCACAUCUAGGCAAGGAGUGGGACUCGGAUUGCUCCUCGUCCGACUCCGACAAUGAAGGACUCGCCGCCACCGCCUUCAACAAAUCAACCCUCUUCCCAAACGAGCGUCACACAUGCCUUAUGGCAAGGGAGAAGAAGGUAUGUACUCGCAACUCUACCUAUCCUUCUUCAAGUGAGGACGAAUCUAGUGAUGAGGAUGAAGUAGAUUAUUCAUGUUUGUUCAAGGGCUUAGAUAGAUCUAAGAUAGACAAAAUUAAUGAAUUAAUUGAUGCCUUGAAUGAAAAGAAUAUACUUUUAGAAAAGCAAGAGGAUUUGUUGUAUGAAGAGCAUGAUAAAUUUGUUGAGGCACAAAAAUCCUAUGCUUUAGAAGUUAAAAGAAAUGAAAUGCUUUCUUUUGAACUAUCUACUUGUCAUGAAACCAUUUCUACUUUGAAAGGUGUCAACAAUGAUUUAAAUGCUAAACUAGAAGUAGCAAAUAAAUCCAAUUCUUGUGUAGAACAUGUUGAAAUUUGUACUAGGUGUAAAGAUUUUGACGUUGAUGCUUGUAGUGAACACCUAGUUUCAAUUUCCAAGCUUAAUGAUGAACUGGCUAGUCUUAAUGCUCAACUUAAGACUAGCAAGAAUGAUUUCGAUAAGCUAAAAUUUGCAAGGGAUGCCUACACAAUUGGUAGACACCCCUCAAUUAAGGAUGGACUUGGCUUCAAGAGAGAAGCUAAGAACUUAACAAGCCAUAAGGCUCCCAUUCCCGCCAAGGAGAAAGGGAAGGCCCCUAUGGCUAGUAAUGUGCAAAAGAACCAUGCUUUUAUGUACUAUGAUAGGAGAUAUUCUAGAAAUGCUUUUAGAGGUCAUGAUGUGUUUGAUUCACAUGCUUAUGACUCUUAUGCCAUGACUGCUUCUAGUUCUCAUGUUAUGCAUGGUAGAAAUAUGUCUAGGAGAAAUGCUAUUCAUCAUGUGCCUAGAAAGAAUGUUAUUCAUGCUCCUAGGAAAGUAGUGAAUGAACCGUCUACAAUUUAUUGUACUUUGAAUGCUUCCUUUGCAAUUUGUAGAAAGGAUAAGAAAAUUGUUGCUAGGAAGCUAGGGGCAAAAUGCAAGGGAGACAAAACUUGCAUUUGGGUCCCUAAGGAAAUUUGUAAUAACCUUGUAGGACCCAACAAGAGUUGGGUACCUAAGUCCCAAGCCUAAAUUUGCCUUGCAGGUUUAUGCAUCCGGGGGAUCAAGCUGGAUUAUCGACAGCGGAUGCACAAACCAUAUGACGGGGGAGAAGAAGAUGUUCACUUCCUACGUCAAGAAUAAGAAUUCCCAGGAUUCAAUUAUAUUCGGUGAUGGAAAUCAAGGCAAGGUAAAAGGUUUAGGUAAAAUUGCGAUUUCUAAUGAGCAUUCUAUCUCUAAUGUAUUUUUAGUAGAGAGUCUUGGAUAUAAUUUGCUAUCUGUUAGUCAAUUAUGUCAUAUGGGGUAUAACUGUCUAUUUACAAAUGUAGAUGUGUCUGUCUUUAGAAGAAGUGAUGGUUCACUAGCUUUUAAGGGUGUAUUAGACGGCAAACUUUAUUUAGUUGAUUUUGCAAAAGAAGAGGUCGGUCUAGAUGCAUGCUUAAUAGCUAAGACUAGCAUGGGCUGGCUGUGGCAUCGCCGCUUAGCACAUGUGGGGAUGAAGAACCUUCACAAGCUUCUAAAGGGAGAACACGUGAUAGGUCUAACUAAUGUUCAAUUCGAAAAAGAUAGACCUUGUGCAGCUUGUCAAGCAGGGAAACAGGUGGGAGGCUCUCAUCACACCAAAAAUGUGAUGACGACAUCAAGACCCUUGGAGAUGCUGCAUAUGGACCUUUUUGGACCCGUCGCCUAUCUGAGCAUAGGAGGAAGUAAGUAUGGUUUAGUUAUUGUUGAUGACUUUUCCCGCUUCACUUGGGUGUUCUUUUUGCAGGAAAAGUCCGAAACCCAAGGGACCCUCAAACGCUUCCUCAGGAGAGCUCAAAAUGAGUUUGAGCUCAAAGUGAAGAAGAUAAGGAGCGACAACGGAUCUGAGUUCAAGAAUCUUCAAGUGGAGGAGUUCCUUGAAGAAGAAGGGAUCAAGCACGAGUUCUCCGCUCCCUACACCCCACAGCAAAAUGGUGUGGUAGAGAGGAAGAACAGGACGCUCAUCGACAUGGCGAGGACGAUGCUAGGAGAGUUCAAGACCCCCGAGUGCUUCUGGACGGAAGCCGUUAACACUGCUUGCCACGCCAUCAACAGGGUCUACCUUCAUCGCCUCCUCAAGAAGACGUCGUAUGAGCUACUAACCGGUAACAAACCCAAUGUAUCGUACUUUCGUGUAUUUGGGAGUAAAUGCUACAUUCUAGUGAAGAAGGGUAGAAAUUCUAAGUUUGCUCCCAAAGCUGUAGAAGGGUUUUUGUUAGGUUAUGACUCAAAUACAAAGGCGUAUAGAGUCUUCAACAAAUCAUCGGGUUUGGUUGAAGUCUCUAGCGACGUUGUAUUUGAUGAGACUAAUGGCUCUCCAAGAGAGCAAGUUGUUGAUUGUGAUGAUGUAGAUGAAGAAGAUGUUCCGACGGCCGCUAUACGCACCAUGGCGAUUGGAGAAGUGCGGCCACAGGAACAAGAUGAGCAAGAUCAACCUUCUUCCUCAAUUAUGGUGCAUCCCCCGACUCAAGACGAUGAACAAGUUCAUCAAAAGGAGGCGUAUGAUCAAGGGGGAGCACAAGAUGAUAACGUGAUGGAGGAAGAAGCGCAACCGGCACCUCCAACCCAAGUUCGAGCGAUGAUUCAAAGGGAUCAUCCCGUCGACCAAAUUCUGGGUGACAUUAGCAAGGGAGUAACUACUCGAUCUCGAUUAGUUAAUUUUUGUGAGCAUUACUCCUUUGUCUCUUCUAUUGAGCCUUUUAGGGUAGAAGAGGCCUUGCUAGAUCCGGACUGGGUGUUGGCCAUGCAAGAGGAGUUAAACAACUUCAAGCGCAAUGAAGUUUGGACACUGGUGCCUCGUCCGAAGCAAAAUGUUGUGGGAACCAAGUGGGUGUUCCGCAACAAACAGGACGAGCACGGGGUGGUGACGAGGAACAAGGCUCGACUUGUGGCAAAAGGUUAUGCCCAAGUCGCAGGUUUGGAUUUCGAGGAGACUUUUGCUCCUGUGGCUAGGCUAGAGUCAAUUCGAAUCUUGCUAGCAUAUGCCGCUCACCAUUCUUUCAGGUUGUACCAAAUGGAUGUGAAGAGCGCUUUCCUCAACGGGCCAAUCAAGGAGGAGGUGUACGUGGAGCAACCCCCUGGCUUUGAGGAUGAACGGUACCCCGACCAUGUGUGUAAGCUCUCUAAGGCGCUCUAUGGACUUAAGCAAGCUCCAAGAGCAUGGUAUGAAUGCCUUAGAGAUUUCUUAAUUGCUAAUGCUUUCAAGGUUGGGAAAGCUGAUCCAACUCUUUUUACUAAGACUUGUGAUGGUGAUUUGUUUGUGUGCCAAAUUUAUGUCGAUGACAUAAUAUUUGGUUCUACUAACCAAAAGUCUUGUGAAGAGUUUAGCAGGGUGAUGACGCAGAAAUUCGAGAUGUCAAUGAUGGGCGAGUUGAACUACUUCCUUGGGUUCCAAGUGAAGCAACUCAAGGACGGCACCUUCAUCUCUCAAACAAAGUACACGCAAGAUCUGCUAAAGCGGUUUGGGAUGAAGGACGCCAAGCCCGCAAAGACGCCGAUGGGAACCGACGGACACACCGACCUCAACAAAGGAGGUAAGUCCGUUGAUCAAAAAGCAUACCGGUCAAUGAUAGGUUCGUUGCUUUAUUUAUGUGCUAGUAGACCGGACAUUAUGCUUAGUGUAUGCAUGUGUGCUAGAUUUCAAUCCGAUCCUAAGGAGUGUCACUUAGUGGCGGUGAAGCGAAUUCUUAGAUAUUUGGUUGCUACGCCUUGCUUCGGGCUCUGGUAUCCAAAGGGGUCUACCUUUGACUUAGUUGGAUACUCAGACUCCGACUAUGCUGGAUGUAAGGUCGAUAGGAAGAGUACAUCGGGGACGUGCCAAUUCUUAGGAAGGUCCCUGGUGUCAUGGAACUCUAAGAAACAAACAUCCGUUGCCCUAUCCACCGCUGAGGCCGAGUACGUUGCCGCAGGUCUGAAAGGGAAAUGUGCCCUUGGGCCAUUUCUAAGUAUUUUGGUGAUUGAGUGCAAACACAAGUGCUUAAAUGUGAAAAUAUGCCCAUGGAUGGACAAGUUGCAAAUCACAAGUUAAGGUAUGUUUCUAAGCCUUAGUACAUUGGUUUUGUGUACUAAUAUAUUUGUCUAAGUGUUAGAAACAGAAAGAAGAAGAAGAAGAGAAGACUUGGCUGUGUGCAGCCAAGGGGCUGCUUCGGUUUGGGGCACCGGACUGUCCGGUGGUGCACCGGACAGUGUCCGGUGGUGCACCGGACAGUGUCCGGUGCGCCAGGCUGCCUCGGCCGAAGAGGCCGCUCUCGGGUUUUUCUCCGGCGACUUCGGCUAAAAUUCACCGGACUGUCCGGUGUGCACCGGACUGUCCGGUGUGCACCGGACUGUCCGGUGAGCCAACGGUCGGCCGAGCCAACGAUCGGCCGCGCGAUCGGCGCGCGACACGUGGCCGAGCCAACGGUCGGAAGGAAGCACCGGACUGUCCGGUGUGCACCGGACUGUCCGGUGCGCCAGAUCUGCAACGGUCGACAACGGUCGGCUUCGCCAUUUAAGGAAACAAAUCGGGCACCGGACAGUGUCCGGUGUGCACCGGACUGUCCGGUGCGCCACGAGACAGAAGGCAAAGAUGGCCUUCCAGAUUUGUUCCCAACGGCUCCUAGCUGCCUUGGGGCUAUAAAAGGGACCCCUAGGCGCAUGGAGGAGCACACCAAGCAUUCCUACAACUCUUCUAAGCACCAAGACAUCAAUCUCACGCAUUCGUUUCAUUGUGAUAGCAUAUAGAGCUCUUGUGGAGUUGUGAACUCUUUGUGUUGCGUUGCGAGCUCUUGUUGCGACUUGUGUGCGUGUUGUUGCUCUGAUUUUCGAGUCUUGUGUGCGUUGCUCAUUCCCACCUUACUCCGUAUUUCUUUGUGAACUCAAUUGUAAGGGCGAGAGACUCCAAGUUGUGGAGAUUCCUCGCAAACGGGAAAAGAUCAAAGGAAAGAAAAACACCGUGGUAUUCAAGUUGAUCAUUGGAUCACUUGAGAGGAGUUGAGUGCAACUCUCGUCCGUUGGGACGCCACAACGUGGAGUAGGCAAGUUUUGUACUUGGCCGAACCACGGGAUAACCACCGUGUCAACUCUGUGAUUGCUUUCUUGUGGUUAUCGUGUUUUGACUCCUCUCUAGCCACUUGGCCAUACCUGUGCUAACUCUUAACAAGUUUUUGUGGCUUAAGUUUUUGAAGUUUUACAGGAUCACCUAUUCACCCCCCCCCUCUAGGUGCUCUCAAUUGGUAUCAGAGCCGUUCUCUUCAAGAAAGGGACUAACCGCCCGAAGAGAUGGAUCCUAAGGGGAAGGGAAUUGUGAUCAACGACAAGGAGAAGGAGUCCUUCGUCAACGAGCCAAGGGAUGACAAGUCCAAUGACUCGGGCUCGGGCCACAAGCGAAGAGAUGGGAAGAAGAAGAAGACAAGACGCAUCAAGGAGAUCGUCUACUACGACAGCGAUGAGUCCUCUUCUUCCCAAAAGGACGACGACCACGACAAACAAAGGAAACCGGUUAAUUCUAACUUUUCUUUUGACUACUCUCGUAUUCCGCAAAGUUCAAAUUCACAUUUGCUUUCUAUUCCACUCGGCAAGCCCCCACACUUUGAUGGGGAGGACUACGGAUUUUGGAGCCACAAAAUGCGUAGUCACCUAUUCUCUCUCCAUCCUAGCAUAUGGGAGAUUGUAGAUAGUGGAAUGCACUUUAAUAGUUCGGAUAGUCCUAUAUUCAUUAAUGAGCAAAUCCAUAAGAAUGCACAAGCUACUACUGUUCUUCUAGCCUCAUUGUGCAGGGAUGAAUAUAAUAAAGUGAGUGGCUUGGAUAACGCCAAGCAAAUCUGGGAUACCCUCAAGAUCUCUCAUGAGGGAAAUGACGCUACCUUGCUCACCAAAAUGGAGUUGGUGGAGGGCGAGCUUGGACGGUUCGCGAUGAUAAGGGGCGAGGAGCCAACUCAAACAUACAACCGGCUCAAGACCCUUGUCAACAAGAUAAGGAGCUACGGAAGCACGCGUUGGACGGAUCACGACGUCGUCCGCCUAAUGCUCAGGUCAUUUACCGUUCUUGAUCCUCAUCUCGUGAACAAUAUUCGUGAGAAUCCCAGGUACACGAUGAUGACGCCCGAAGAAGUACUUGGAAAAUUUGUGAGCGGGCGGAUGAUGAUCAAGGAGGCAAGAUACGUCGACGACGCGUUGAACGGUCCACUCCACGAGUCUCAACCCAUUGCUCUAAAAGCAACAAGGAGCAAGGAGUCGCUACCUAGCAAAGUGGCACAAAUUGAGGCGGCCGGUCUUAAUGAAGAAGAAAUGGCCCUCAUUAUCAAGAGAUUCAAGACGGUGCUAAAGGGUCGCAAUGGACAGCCGAGCAAGACUAAAACCAAGGGGAAGCGAUCAUGCUUCAAAUGCGGUAAGCUUGGUCAUUUUAUUGCUAACUGUCCUGAUAAUGAAAGUGACCAGGAAAAGGGAAACAAGAGGGAAAAGAAGAAGCAUUAUAAGAAGGCAAAGGGUGAGGCGCAUCUAGGCAAGGAGUGGGACUCGGAUUGCUCCUCGUCCGACUCCGACAAUGAAGGACUCGCCGCCACCGCCUUCAACAAAUCAACCCUCUUCCCCAACGAGCGUCACACAUGCCUUAUGGCAAGGGAGAAGAAGGUAUGUACUCGCAACUCUACCUAUGCUUCUUCAAGUGAGGACGAAUCUAGUGAUGAGGAUGAAGUAGAUUAUUCAUGUUUAUUCAAGGGCUUAGAUAGAUCUAAGAUAGACAAAAUUAAUGAAUUAAUUGAUGCCUUGAAUGAAAAGAAUAUACUUUUAGAAAAGCAAGAGGAUUUGUUGUAUGAAGAGCAUGAUAAAUUUGUUGAGGCACAAAAAUCCUAUGCUUUAGAAGUUAAAAGAAAUGAAAUGCUCUCUUUUGAACUAUCUACUUGUCAUGAAACCAUUUCUACUUUGAAAAGUGUCAACAAUGAUUUAAAUGCUAAAUUAGAAGUAGCAAAUAAAUCCAAUUCUUGUGUAGAACAUGUUGAAAUUUGUACUAGGUGUAAAGAUUUUGACAUUGAUGCUUGUAGUGAACACCUAGUUUCAAUUUCCAAGCUUAAUGAUGAACUGGCUAGUCUUAAUGCUCAACUUAAGACUAGCAAAAGUGAUUUUGAAAAACUAAAAUUUGCUAGGGAUGCCUACACGGUUGGUAGACACCCCUCAAUUAAGGAUGGACUUGGCUUCAAAAGGGAAGCCAAGAACUUAACAAGCCAUAAGGCUCCCAUUCCCGCCAAGGAGAAAGGGAAGGCUCCUAUGGCUACUAGUGCUAAAAGGAACCAUGCAUUUUUGUAUCAUGAUAGAAGACAAACUAGAAAUGUAAGUCAUGAUGCUUUUGAUUCAUAUGUUUAUGAUUCUCAUGCCAUGUUUGCUCCUAGUUCCUCUUAUGUGUAUGAUAGAAAUGUUACUAGGAGAAAUGUUGUUCCUAAAAGAAAUGCUAUUCAUCAUGUGCCUAGAAGGAAUGUUAUUCAUGCUCCUAGGAAAGUAGUGAAUGAAUCUUCUACAAUUUAUUGUGCUUUGAAUGCUUCAUUUGCAAUUUGUAGAAAGGAUAGAAAAGUAAUUGCUAGGAAGUUAGGGGCAAAAUGCAAAGGUGAUAAAACUUGCAUUUGGGUCCCUAAGGAAAUUGUGACUAACCUUGUAGGACCCAACAAGAGUUGGGUACCUAAGUCCCAAGCCUAAAUUUGCCUUGCAGGUUUAUGCAUCCGGGGGUUCAAGCUGGAUUAUCGACAGCGGAUGCACAAACCAUAUGACGGGGGAGAAGAAGAUGUUCACCUCCUACGUCAAGAAUAAAGAUUCCCAAGAUUCAAUUGUAUUCGGUGAUGGGAAUCAAGGCAAGGUAAAAGGUUUAGGUAAAAUUGCAAUUUCUAAUGAGCACUCCAUAUCUAAUGUAUUUUUAGUAGAGAGUCUUGGAUAUAAUUUGCUAUCUGUUAGUCAAUUAUGUCAUAUGGGGUAUAACUGUCUAUUUACAAAUGUAGAUGUGUCUGUCUUUAGAAGAAGUGAUGGUUCACUAGCUUUUAAGGGUGUAUUAGACGGCAAACUUUAUUUAGUUGAUUUUGCAAAAGAAGAGGCCGGUCUAGAUGCAUGCUUAAUGGCUAAGACUUGCAUGGGCUGGCUGUGGCAUCGCCGCUUAGCACAUGUGGGGAUGAAGAACCUUCACAAGCUUCUAAAGGGAGAACACGUGAUAGGUCUAACCAAUGUUCAAUUCGAAAAAGAUAGACCUUGUGCAGCUUGUCAAGCAGGGAAACAGGUGGGAGGAGCGCAUCACAGCAAGAAUGUGAUGACCACUUCAAGACCCCUGGAGCUGCUGCAUAUGGACCUCUUCGGACCCGUCGCCUAUCUAAGCAUAGGGGGGAGUAAGUAUGGUCUAGUUAUUGUAGAUGAUUUUUCCCGCUUCACUUGGGUGUUCUUUUUGCAGGAUAAGUCUGAAACCCAAGGGACCCUCAAGCGCUUUCUCAGGAGAGCUCAAAAUGAGUUUGAGCUCAAAGUGAAGAAGAUAAGGAGCGACAACGGGUCCGAGUUCAAGAACCUUCAAGUGGAGGAGUUCCUUGAAGAUGAAGGGAUCAAGCACGAGUUCUCCGCUCCCUACACACCACAGCAAAAUGGUGUGGUAGAGAGGAAGAACAGGACGCUCAUCGACAUGGCGAGGACGAUGCUAGGAGAGUUCAAGACCCCCGAGUGCUUUUGGACGGAAGCCGUGAACACGGCAUGCCACGCCAUCAACAGGGUCUACCUUCAUCGCCUCCUCAAGAAGACGUCGUAUGAGCUACUAACCGGUAACAAACCCAAUGUAUCGUACUUUCGUGUAUUUGGGAGUAAAUGCUACAUUCUAGUGAAGAAGGGUAGAAAUUCUAAGUUUGCUCCCAAAGCUGUAGAAGGGUUUUUAUUAGGUUAUGACUCAAAUACAAAGGCGUAUAGAGUCUUCAACAAAUCAUCGGGUUUGGUUGAAGUCUCUAGCGACGUUGUAUUUGAUGAGACUAAUGGCUCUCCAAGAGAGCAAGUUGUUGAUUGUGAUGAUGUAGAUGAAGAAGAUGUUCCGACGGCCGCUAUACGGACCAUGGCGAUUGGAGAAGUACGGCCACAGGAACAAGAUGAUCAAGAUCAACCCUUUUCCUCAAUUAUGGUGCAUCCCCCGACUCAAGACGGUGAACAGGUUCAUCAAAAGGAGGCAUGUGAUCAAGGGGGAGCACAAGAUAAUCAUGUGAUGGAGGAAGAAGCGCUACCGGCACCUCCAACCCAAGUUCGAGCGAUGAUUCAAAGGGAUCAUCCCGUCGACCAAAUUCUGGGUGACAUUAGCAAGGGAGUAACUACUCGAUCUCGAUUAGUUAAUUUUUGUGAGCAUUACUCCUUUGUCUCUUCUAUUGAGCCUUUCAGGGUAGAAGAGGCCUUGCUAGAUCCGGACUGGGUGUUGGCCAUGCAAGAGGAGUUAAACAACUUCAAGCGCAAUGAAGUUUGGACACUGGUGCCUCGUCCGAAGCAAAAUGUUGUGGGAACCAAGUGGGUGUUCCGCAACAAACAGGACGAGCACGGGGUGGUGACGAGGAACAAGGCUCGACUUGUGGCAAAAGGUUAUGCCCAAGUCGCAGGUUUGGACUUUGAGGAGACCUUUGCUCCUGUGGCUAGGCUAGAGUCCAUUCGUAUUUUGCUAGCAUAUGCCGCUCACCAUUCUUUCAGGUUGUACCAAAUGGAUGUGAAGAGCGCUUUCCUCAACGGGCCAAUCAAGGAGGAGGUGUACGUGGAGCAACCCCCUGGCUUCGAGGAUGAACGGUACCCCGACCACGUGUGUAAGCUCUCUAAGGCGCUCUAUGGACUUAAGCAAGCCCCAAGAGCAUGGUAUGAAUGCCUUAGAGAUUUCUUAGUUGCUAAUGCUUUCAAGGUUGGGAAAGCCGAUCCAACUCUUUUUACAAAGACAUGUGAUGGUGAUUUGUUUGUGUGCCAAAUUUAUGUCGAUGACAUAAUAUUUGGUUCUACUAACCAAAAGUCUUGUGAAGAGUUUAGCAGGGUGAUGACGCAGAAAUUCGAGAUGUCGAUGAUGGGCGAGUUGAACUACUUCCUUGGGUUCCAAGUGAAGCAACUCAAGGACGACACCUUCAUCUCCCAAACGAAGUACACGCAAGAUCUGCUAAAGCGGUUUGGGAUGAAGGACGCCAAGCCCGCAAAGACUCCGAUGGGGACCGACGGACACACCGACCUCAACAAAGGAGGUAAGUCCGUUGAUCAAAAAGCAUACCGGUCAAUGAUAGGUUCUUUGCUUUACUUAUGUGCUAGUAGACCGGAUAUUAUGCUUAGCGUAUGCAUGUGUGCUAGAUUUCAAUCCGAUCCUAAGGAGUGUCACUUAGUGGCGGUGAAGCGAAUUCUUAGAUAUUUAGUUGCUACGCCUUGCUUCGGGCUCUGGUAUCCAAAGGGGUCUACCUUUGACUUAGUUGGAUACUCAGACUCCGACUAUGCUGGAUGUAAGGUCGAUAGGAAGAGUACAUCGGGGACGUGCCAAUUCUUAGGAAGGUCCCUGGUGUCAUGGAACUCUAAGAAACAAACCUCCGUUGCCCUAUCCACCGCUGAGGCCGAGUAUGUUGCCGCAGGACAGUGUUGCGCGCAACUACUUUGGAUGAGGCAAACCCUCAGGGACUUUGGCUACAAUCUGAGCAAAGUCCCACUCCUAUGUGACAAUGAGAGUGCUAUCCGCAUGGCGGAAAAUCCUGUUGAACACAGCCGCACAAAGCACAUAGACAUCCGGCAUCACUUUUUGAGAGACCACCAGCAAAAGGGAGAUAUCGAAGUGUUUCAUGUUAGCACCGAGAACCAGCUAGCCGAUAUCUUCACUAAGCCUCUAGAUGAGAAGACCUUUUGCAGGUUGCGUAGUGAGCUAAAUGUCUUAGAUUCACGGAACUUGGAUUGAAUUGUAGCAUACAUGUGUUUAUGCAUUUGAUCAGGUUCAUUCUGCAUUUUGUUGCUUAUUGUGGUGCUCAAGUUGUACCAACACUCCCUGGACCUCACAAGUCCGUUGCAAAGUGAUGCACAUGUUUAGGGGGAGAUGUGUUACAACUUGACCCUUUGAGACUAACCAUUUGCUUGAGUUUGCUUGAUUUAGUCUCGAAGGAGGAUUGAAAGGGAAAAGGUGGACUUGGACCAUGAAAGACUUCCACUGCACUCCGAUGAGAGGGUAACUAAUUCCAAGUUCAUCUCAUGAAAUCUUAUUGCCAUUUGCUCUUAAUUGAAGACUUUGGUGAGGCAAUGGGGUUAAAAGGCCAAGAUUAAUCCCGUUUUGGUGCUUGAUGCCAAAGGGGGAGAAAAUAAAGGCCAAAGUGAUAAAUGGAUCAGCUACCACUUGAGAGAUUUUGAAAAUAGUAGAAUAGAGUUUUUGUUUUGUCAAAAGCUUUUAGUGUCUCUUUUAUUGUCUCUCUUGUCAAAAGUUGGCUUCUUGUGGGGAGAAGUAUUGAUUAUGGGGAAUAGGGGGAGUUUUUGAAAUCUUUGAUCAAUCUCUUUUGGAAUGACUCUCUUUAUGCUUCAACAUGUGUGUUUGACAUAGAAAUAGAGAUUUGAGUUUGAUUUGCAAAAACAAACCAAGUGGUGGCAAAGGAUGAUCCAUAUAUGCCAAAAUUGAAUAAAACCAAUUUGAGUUUUUAUUUGAAGUGAUUUUGCACUUGUUCUAGUUGCUUUAUGUUGUGUUGGCAUAAAUCACCAAAAAGGGGGAGAUUGAAAGGGAAAUGUGCCCUUGGGCCAUUUCUAAGUAUUUUGGUGAUUGAGUGCAAACACAAGUGCUUAAAUGUGAAAAUAUGCCCAUGGAUGGACAAGUUGCAAAUCACAAGUUAAGGUAUGUUUCUAAGCCUUAGUACAUUGGUUUUGUGUACUAAUAUAUUUGUCUAAGUGUUAGAAACAGAAAGAAGAAGAAGAAGAGAAGACUUGGCUGUGUGCAGCCAAGGGGCUGCUUCGGUUUGGGGCACCGGACUGUCCGGUGGUGCACCGGACAGUGUCCGGUGGUGCACCGGACAGUGUCCGGUGCGCCAGGCUGCCUCGGCCGAAGAGGCCGCUCUCGGGUUUUUCUCCGGCGACUUCGGCUAAAAUUCACCGGACUGUCCGGUGUGCACCGGACUGUCCGGUGAGCCAACGGUCGGCCGAGCCAACGGUCGGCCGCGCGAUCGGCGCGCGACACGUGGCCGAGCCAACGGUCGGAAGGAAGCACCGGACUGUCCGGUGUGCACCGGACUGUCCGGUGCGCCAGAUCUGCAACGGUCGGCAACGGUCGGCUUCGCCAUUUAAGGAAACAAAUCGGGCACCGGACAGUGUCCGGUGUGCACCGGACUGUCCGGUGCGCCACGAGACAGAAGGCAAAGAUGGCCUUCCAGAUUUGUUCCCAACGGCUCCUAGCUGCCUUUGGGCUAUAAAAGGGACCCCUAGGCGCAUGGAGGAGCACACCAAGCAUUCCUACAACUCUUCUAAGCACCAAGACAUCAAUCUCACGCAUUCGUUUCAUUGUGAUAGCAUAUAGAGCUCUUGUGGAGUUGUGAACUCUUUGUGUUGCGUUGCGAGCUCUUGUUGCGACUUGUGUGCGUGUUGUUGCUCUGAUUUUCGAGUCUUGUGUGCGUUGCUCAUUCCCACCUUACUCCGUAUUUCUUUGUGAACUCAAUUGUAAGGGCGAGAGACUCCAAGUUGUGGAGAUUCCUCGCAAACGAGAAAAGAUCAAAGGAAAGAAAAACACCGUGGUAUUCAAGUUGAUCAUUGGAUCACUUGAGAGGAGUUGAGUGCAACUCUCGUCCGUUGGGACGCCACAACGUGAAGUAGGCAAGUUUUGUACUUGGCCGAACCACGGGAUAACCACCGUGUCAACUCUGUGAUUGCUUUCUUGUGGUUAUCGUGUUUUGACUCCUCUCUAGCCACUUGGCCAUACCUGUGCUAACUCUUAACAAGUUUUUGUGGCUUAAGUUUUUGAAGUUUUACAGGAUCACCUAUUCACCCCCCCCCCCUCUAGGUGCUCUCAAGGUCAGUGUUGCGCGCAACUACUUUGGAUGAGGCAAACCCUCCGGGACUUUGGCUACAAUCUGAGCAAAGUCCCACUCCUAUGUGACAAUGAGAGUGCUAUCCGCAUGGCGGAAAAUCCUGUUGAACACAGCCGCACAAAGCACAUAGACAUCCGGCAUCACUUUUUGAGAGAUCACCAGCAAAAGGGAGAUAUCGAAGUGUUUCAUGUUAGCACCGAGAACCAGCUAGCCGAUAUCUUCACUAAGCCUCUAGAUGAGAAGACCUUUUGCAGGUUGCGUAGUGAGCUAAAUGUCUUAGAUUCGCGGAACUUGGAUUGAAUUGUAGCAUACAUGUGUUUAUGCAUUUGAUCAGGUUCAUUCUGCAUUUUGUUGCUUAUUGUGGUGCUCAAGUUGUACCAACACUCCCUGGACCUCACAAGUCCGUUGCAAAGUGAUGCACAUGUUUAGGGGGAGAUGUGUCACAACUUGACCCUUUGAGACUAACCAUUUGCUUGAGUUUGCUUGAUUGAGUCUCGAAGGAGGAAUGAAAGGGAAAAGGUGGACUUGGACCAUGAAAGACUUCCACUGCACUCCGAUGAGAGGGUAACUAAUUCCAAGUUCAUCUCAUGAAAUCUUAUUGCCAUUUGCUCUUAAUUGAAGACUUUGGUGAGGCAAUGGGGUUAAUAGGCCAAGAUUGAUCCCGUUUUGGUGCUUGAUGCCAAAGGGGGAGAAAAUAAAGGCCAAAGUGAUAAAUGGAUCAGCUACCACUUGAGAGAUUUUGAAAAUAGUAGAAUAGAGUUUUUGUUUUGUCAAAAGCUUUUAUUGUCUCUUAUUGUCUCUAGUGUCAAAAGUUGGCUUCUUGUGGGGAGAAGUAUUGAUUAUGGGAAAUAGGGGGAGUUUUUGAAAUCUUUGAUCAAUCUCUUUUAGAAUGACUCUCUUUAUACUUCAACGUGUGUGUUUGACUUAGAGAUAGAGAUUUGAGUUUGAUUUGCAAAAACAAACCAAGUGGUGGCAAAGGAUGAUCCAUAUAUGCCAAAAUUGAAUAAAACUCAAAGUUAGUUUUUAUUUGAAGUGAUUUUACACUUGUUCUAGUUGCUUUAUGUUGUGUUGGCAUAAAUCACCAAAAAGGGGGAGAUUGAAAGGGAAAUGUGCCCUUGGGCCAUUUCUAAGUAUUUUGGUGAUUGAGUGCAAACACAAGUGCUUAAAUGUGAAAAUAUGCCCAAGGAUGAACAAAGUGCAAAUCACAAGUUAAGGUAUGUUUCUAAGCCUUAGUACAUUGGUUUUGUGUACUAAUAUAUUUGUCUAAGUGUUAGAAACAGAUAGAAGAAGAGAAGAGAAGACUUGGCUGUGUACAGCCAAGGGGCUGCUUCGGUCUGGGGCACCGGACUGUCCGGUGGUGCACCGGACAGUGUCCGGUGGUGCACCGGACAGUGUCCGGUGCGCCAGGCUGCCUCGGCCAAAGAGGCCGCUCUCGGGUUAUUCUCCGGCGACUUCGGCUAAAAUUCACCAGACUGUCCGGUGUGCACCGGACUGUCCGGUGAGCCAACGGUCGGCCGGGCCAACGGUCGGCCGCGCGAUCGGCGCGCGACACGUGGCCGAGCCAACGGUCGGAAGGAAGCACCGGACUGUCCGGUGUGCACCGGACUGUCCGGUGCGCCAGAUCUGCAACGGUCGGCAACGGUCGGCUUCGCCAUUUAAGGAAACAAAUCGGGCACCGGACAGUGUCCGGUGUGCACCGGACUGUCCGGUGCGCCCGACGACAGAAGGCAAGGAUAGCCUUCCAGAUGUGUUCUCAACGGCUCCUAGCUGACUUGGGGCUAUAAAAGGGACCCCUAGGCGCAUGGAGGAGGAUACCAAGCAUUCCUACAACUCUUCUAAGCACCAAGACAUCAAUCUCACGCAUUCGUUUCAUUGUGAUAGCAUAUAGAGCUCUUGUGGAGUUGUGAACUCUUUGUGUUGCGUUGCGAGCUCUUGUUGCGACUUGUGUGCGUGGUGUUGCUCUGAUUUUCGAGUCUUGUGUGCGUUGCUCAUUCCCACCUUACUCCGUAUUUCUUUGUGAACUCAAUUGUAAGGGCGAGAGACUCCAAGUUGUGGAGAUUCCUCGCAAACGGGAAAAGAUCAAAGGAAAGAAAAACACCGUGGUAUUCAAGUUGAUCAUUGGAUCACUUGAGAGGAGUUGAGUGCAACUCUCGUCCGUUGGGACGCCACAACGUGGAGUAGGCAAGUUUUGUACUUGGCCGAACCACGGGAUAACCACCGUGUCAACUCUGUGAUUGCUUUCUUGUGGUUAUUGUGUUUUGAGUUCUCUCUAGCCACUUGGCCAUACUUGUACUAACCAUUAACAAGUUUUUGUGGCUUAAGUUUAAGUUUUUACAGGAUCACCUAUUCACCCCCCCCCUCUAGGUGCUCUCAGGAUCGCCACCAGAAGAUCAUCCGUCAAGGGGAGAUCGAUAUGGAAUCUCUCCUACCUCCACUUCAGGGUCCCGCUGUAAGUACUCCAGAUCUAUCUCUUACGACUUUCAUGGAUCAACGAGGAGAUCAGUUAAAGCAAUAUGUAGAUGAAUCUAUUAAAAUGCAUUUACGUGCAUACGAGAAAUCAGCUGCUCCUAGCUUUCCAUCGCGAGAGUCUAAUUCAGAGCCACCCGCGUCAAACACAUCGGCUAUAAACGGGUCGCCCUUGACCCAGCCAUCAUAUGGUAUGCCGAUGCACACUUUCGUGUCACCAUCACAGCCGCAACCACUAGGCACGCGACAGGUACUGGACACGACCGGACCGUCCGAGCAUCAUCUCAGACAGUCCGAUUAUACCGCGGACCGUCCGGCGUAUUUCGCCGGACCAUCCGACCAGAUGCGCAGCAUACAACUCCCCGUUGUACUGCGCUCUUCAAGUGUGCUUCUUCCCCCUUCUCCCCCUUACCACGGCAAGUCCUUGGGAAAUAACUCCGAUGGGCAGAAAAAAGAAGGGGUUAAGAGACCCUCCUGGCCCAACCCUAGACACUCUAAGAUCCUUUUUCAAACCUGCUCUGCUCCCAUUUCGAGUCAAGAGAUAGAUAAAUAGCCACAUCCCAUUGCACUGAUCGGGGGCGCUCGUAGUC
rnacentral:lncRNA from 1 species